rnacentral:lncRNA from 1 species
CCAUGGGGACGGGGCUGUUCCCGGGGAGGCUGUGAUGGGUUGACAGGUGCGUGACAGUGGGAGCUGCUCUCGGCACAAGCAUGUACGGCAAAGGCAAGAGUAACAGCAGCGCCGUCCCGUCCGACAGCCAGGCCCGGGAGAAGUAAGUGUCUCCGCUUCUCACCCACCUCCGCCUUCACACGCGCGCACACUCACGCACGCUCUCGCACACUCUCUGGGAGACACACAGACACACAGACACUCUCCGCCCGGGGAGAGCCGGGGGUGGGCUGGCAGGGGGAGGGGUGUGCGAGGUGGGGGCGUGUGGUGCGGGGAGCGGCUGUUUCUCAGGAGGUGCUGGCUCGGGGCGGGCGGCCGUGGGGGGCUGUCGGGAGGGAAGCGAGUAUGUUGGGGGGCGGCGGCGGUACUGGUGCUGAGGAUGUAAACUUGUUUGGGUGAUUGAGGGAAAUAACCAGCGGGUUCACCUCCCCACAAAGUAACUUUAGAGCUGGGGUCCGGGGCUGCGGGGACCUGGAGAGCCGCCGGGGGUCGCGGGGAGGGGGCAGCUGCGUGGAGGAGGGCGCACGGUGGUAAUGUGGUGCCCGGCGGAGCGGGCUGGGGUCUCAGCUGGCGGCUCCUGGAGCGCGGCGCUGGAGCCCCGGCGCCGGGGCUCGGGGCCGGGAGCGCAGGGCGAGGCGAGGGCGGCGGUGCCGGGCGCGCGGCGGGCGGAAGCUGGGCGCAGAGCGGCCGAGCGGGGCCCCGCGGGGCGCGGAGGCGCGCGCGGGGCACUAAGGGCGUGUGCGGGCGUGGACCCGGUGGGCGUCGGGGCUUUUCCCAACUGGCGGAUCCCGCGCGACGUCUGCUUUGCCUAGUGUUUCGGGCAGUGGGGCCGGGGCUGGGGUGGGUGGGCGCGAGGGACACUGCUGAAGUUUGGGAGUCAGAGAAGGACCGAGUUCCCGGGGAGAAAAAGUGUGCUGGCUAGGAGAGGGAUCUGCUGGAGGAGGCUGGCAUUUCCGCUUCUCGCUGCAGACCCAACUCCGCAGUAGCGGCGACUGGAGAACUUUUUGUGGAGACUUGCUGCCUUCCGAACGUCGGGGGCCCCUGGUGGGCAGCUGGCGGGGCGGUCCCUGCGGGGCGGUGGUCCUGGGGCAAGCCGAAGGGGAGUUGUGUGAGCCGCAGCUCCGCCGCGAAGAGGGCUUUCUGCAGUAGGCAGGAGAGGCAACAAUCGGAAAAGGGGUUUUUAGGGAGGAGAGAAACGCUGAGGUGGGCAGAAGCUGCUUGGUUGGGGUAGUGGGGAGAUACAGGUGUUAACUUCGGUGGGAACCCAAGAGGAGGCUGGCCAGAAAAGAGCCCCUCCCGGCCAGGGAUGCCACCGUCACGGCACACUGCAAAGCAGGGUUGUUUGCUGCUAUUCUUGUGUACUUGUAACGGUGAUUUGGUUGUUACUAAAAAUGAGAGCGAAUAGUGACUGUGACUACUGAGGAAGAACCCCCCCGCCAGCCCCGCCGCCUUUUAUUUUUCUGUGUAGCAGAUCAAACUGAUUCCCAGUAACCGCCUCAACUCUUGAGGGUCAGGCUUAUCCUUGUCAUUGAAUGCACUCUAUUUUUCGGAGGGGGUGCAGACUGGGGGAAAGUCUGAGAGCAUCACUCCGAGGUACUUUGGGUACCUUGCUCACAGAAAUAGCUGCUUAAAUAAAAACCUAAUGUGCAGACAGACGACUAAGUUUCCCUCCUUGCUUUGGGCAGUUUUCCCCUGAAAGUUUGUUGUGCCCCAGGGAUGGGAACAUUUCCUAAUCUUCAUGUUGGCAUCAACAUACACAAUUCCCAUAGGAUUUAGGGGUGGCAGGCCUUGAUGUAGCAAAACAAAACAAAGCAAAAAACCAAAAAACAAAAACAAAAAAAGGGAGAGAUGCUGUUAUUUUUUAGACCUAUUUUUUAGAUCCGAACCUUGUUGCUCUGACAAGGAAUGUAUAAGAGUCACAGCAUUAUUGCCUGAUUUAAGACACAGCAUUUAACUGAAGUUGAAGUUUUGAAUUACAGACUAAUUUGUGUGCAUUAAUCAUUUGGUUAUAUGAUAAAAAUAUCUUAAGGAAGAUGUUUAAUGAUUACAGAAUAUUUGGAUUUCACAUUACUGGGGGUGAAGAAAUUGAAAUUUAAUGAAGCAUAAUCUUAUUUAUUUUGAGGUGAUUGAAUUUGAGAAUCAAAGUAAUUUUGGAUUUUAGCUGGACUCCUGGGAGGGGGUAAAUUUUGACUCAAUCUAAUUUGUAUCCUGAUGACUUUGUAAAUUUGCUGAUUAUAACAAGGAAGUUGGACCUAGUGUGUUCUGUGGUCCUUUCUAGCUCUAAUUCUGUGAUUCUGUUAUGAAAACAAAUUGCCACUUUUGUUGUCAUAUCUACCAAACUGAACAUCAAGUAACAUCCACUCUUAUGAGCAAAGUGAUGAGGGUUCUGCUAGAUGGUGCUAUUUGAUUUAAAUAUAUUUUUUCCAUUCAUUACAAUUGGCAGAAGGAAUUCUUGACUGACUUACUUUAUAAACUAAAUAUACGUGAAGAGGCCACUUUUGGAGAAUUAACAAAGACUAUUCUGGGUUAAUUGUUUUGAAUUAAUUUAUAGGUGAAUGUUAGAAGACAAACAUUGAGGUAAUUCUGUUUUAUAGAACAUAGUUGGUGGGAAGAAUUGAUCUGAUUACCCAGUUUUCCCUGUUAUGGUUACUUGGGACUUUGAUGGCACUAUUCUACAUCAAUGUACUAGUUUCUGAAGUUAGGAAUCUUGAAGGUAUCUUUAAAAAGGAUGUUACAAUUUUUUGUUACUAAUUUUUUUUUAAGGUGGCAGAUUUUAAAAGGUGGUCAAGUGAUGAAUUCUCCUUUAGUAAGCAAAUUAGAACUGUUGUGAUAUUUAAAUUACAGAAAUAAUUUGUUUUUCAUUAAUAAGUAAUAUACACCGCAAUAAAAAGAUCCUGAAAAAUGAAUUGUCCCGAAUCAUGGCAUACACAUUCAAUAAACAUUGGUUUUAUAACCUAUCAAGAAAUACAUUUUCUCACAAGUUUAUAGGGAAUAGCUAAGCACUUACCUAUAUGAUAUCUUAGCUUUUUCUUGAACUAAAAAGUCAUUGUGGAACUGGGGAUGUAGCUCAGUGGUAGAGUGCUUGCCACACAUGAGUGAUCCCCUGGGUUCAAUCCUCAGCACAGCAAAAAACAAACAAACAAAAAACCGCUAUAUAAAAUAUUUGAAAUUUAUUUGUAGAUUUCAUACACAGUUUCUAAAAUUUUACUUUGCAGUCCUGAACAUAAAAAUGGCCUGGGCAGGUUAAUUACUUAUUUUGUUGUUUUAAAAAACAAACAGAUCAAGUCUAUUCAAAGUCUUGGAUUAGGUUUAAUUAGAGAGGGAGUGAUUGAAAACCUUGAAGGGAGGUGGUAUGUUUGCAUAGAAAUUUUAAUUCUGAUCUUGUUAGGUCAUUUCCUGCUUUAGCACACUUUCUUUACAACAUUGAUCAUGAUGGUAAUUAAAUAACUGUGUAAUUGCCUGUUUAAUGUCUUGCUUUUCCUAAAAUGUAAGUUUCUUGAGAGUAGGGGACUAAUUUCUUCUAAUUUUUAAUUUCUUCUCUAAGGUAUCUUUGAUAUUAAGAGAAAUACUUCUAAUAUUGAAAGACCAAAUAAAUUCUUGUAAAUGAAAAUGUUAGACUUAAAGGAAGUUUUUCAGUGACAUCCAAGAAAAUGUCAUAAGUUUGAGUUAACAUUUUCUAGCUUAGUCCUAUUUCAAAAAUACCCCCAAACAAUAGUGUUCUCUAGCUUAGUUGUAUUUCAGAAAUGCCCCCCCAAAAUAAUACAACCAAAGUAACUUAAUUUAUUUGUUAUCGUAUGUGCUAGUCGUUGUGUUCAGUGCUUUUUAUGUUUAUUUUCUCUAAUUCUCCCAACAAAGCUUCAAGAUACGUGAUUUCUUUUUUUCUCCAUUGAAGAAAUAAGAAAACUGGAGACCCUGGGUUGUAAAAUAAAUGCAUAUACUGCUAGAUAUGCUACUGGAAAACAAGCUGGAUUUCUAACACAGAUUUCUCUAACUUUAGAAUCUAUGGUUGACGCUGAAGAAUACAUUUUUCAGUGUACCAGAUUGCCUUCCUGAUCUAGGGUAGGAUGCUACAGAUUUAGGGAAUAGCAUUACAUAAUCAGAUAUAACAGACUUUAAAGAUUUGAUCAGAUAUGCACUCUUAAUCAUUGGUGCACCCAGAUGCUUAUACCCUCCAUUUUGGUAGACUGAAGAAAUGUGUGUGGUUGUGGGGAAGGCAUAGAAAUCUUAGGAGUGAAAGUUGGAAACCCAGAAUAAUGAAGAAUCUUUGUUCCUUUCUUUCCAGGAAUUUUGUUUGACCAUUUAGGUUUUUAAAUUAAUUAUAAUAGUUGUAAACAAGUCCUGUAUGAAAAAUAUUGCUGAACUUUAAGCCAUGCAGUAUGCCAUCUAGGAAAAAGUAACUGGCAGCUGCAAAUAGAUGGGUAGUGAUGUUAAUUUUUUAUUAAACUAAUUUGGUCUUUAACAUUUUGUAAUAGCACUGAAAGAGGAAUGUGCUAGAAAGAAAAGUUGUUUAUAAGAUAAACAUAGUUGACAGUGACAUUUAUUAUGUAAACUAGCCUAAAUUACAACAAACUGUAUAUCUAACCUGGGGCUUUGAAAAAUAACUUUGGCUUUUAAAGAUUGGUGAUUUUUGUAGGACAUACCUGGAUACAAAUACCAUAUGCUCAUUUUUGAACAGUUAUAAUCAAAAGAACAUUUAAAUACCACUCCAUGUAAGAGUUUAUUGAGAUUAGUACCUGCCAACAUCACCUUAUUCUCUCCCCACCUUUCAUCCUUAAAGCAACCCUAUCAAAUAAAACUUGAUAUCUUUCUUUCUGAAAGAAAUAAAGCAAAUGAAGUAUUACAAAUCUCUCCAGAAACUUGUUUGAUGAGCAAUGUACACAAUUCAAGAUUUCUAAAAUAGAGGAAGCAAUAUCUUUAUGGGAAUGAAAUUUCCUACAAUAUGUUGACUCUUCCAACUAUGAAAUCUUUCCUCCAAAAUACUGAACAAUUUGUAUCUGAGAUGUCAGCUGUGAGAUUUUUUUUUCCCCUUCUGAUUGAUGUCUUUCCUGUUAUUUAAAGAGAAGGUUCUCCCUUUGCCCCCCUUGGGAUUUGAACCUAGGGCCUUAUAUAUGCUAGGCAAGUGCUACUGAGCUAUGUUCCAAGCCCAGACUUUUUUCCUGAAGAAAUAAAUCUAAAAAAGAGACUGUGUAAGAUAUUGAAACUUAAAUUUUAGUAUUUAUAAAGAGAUUUAUUGUCAUCCUUAGAAAUAGUAUUAUAAACUGGGCAUGGUGGCGAAGGCCAAUAAUCUCAGCAAUUUAGGUGGCAGAGGCAGGAGGAUCACAAAUUGGAGGCCAGUCUCAGCAAUUUAGUGAGGCUCUAAGCAAAUUUAGCAAGACCCUGUCUCAAAGAAUAAUAAAAUGGUCUGAGGAUCUAGCUUAGUGGUAAAAUACCCGUGGGUUCAAUCUCUAAUACUCCCCUCCCCAAACCCUGCCAAAACUCAGAAAUAGUGUUAUAAGUAUGCUGUACUUUGAGAACUGUGUAUGUGUGUGGGGGGGUGGGGGGGGAGGGGUUAUUCCCAUACUUUGAAAGCCAGUUUGCCCAUAAAACUAAUUUGGGUGAAAAAAAUUUGUAGUCCUGAAGUAGUAGAACAAAUGUGUCUUUAUCAUCAUCAGUUACUACCAGAAAACAGAAUUAUUUUGACUUAAUUGAAAAUACUCCAUGGGGCAGGAGCUGGAACACCCACUUUGUUGUUGAUUAAUAUUUUAUCUUAAUAGUUUCAAGUUAGAAGUAAAAUUUGGAGGGAAAAAAACCCCAAUUUGAAUUUAGAUUUUCCUUCUAUGGCGAUCACCAUUACAUUAGUGUUGGAAUAGGUUUAGGACCCAGAACACUGAGUUUGAAAGAUAUGAAACUACUGCUGGAAAUAUGUAAUUUAAAAAUAAAUAGUUAUAAUUUUAUUUUGGAAUACAUGGUAUUCUCUACCAUUAUGUGUACAUUAUUACUUUGACAUUGAUGUGGGAAUAACAUUAAAUACUAGUGACAUAUCAUUUACUAACAUUUAAGCCUCUAUAAACAUGCCAAAAUAUUAAGAUGUUAGUCUAAAAAGAUGAUCUUAAAAUAGCAUUGGAGCUUGUUCAGUGGCACACACCUGUAAUCCCAGUGGCUCAGGAGGCUAAGGCAGGAGGAUUGCAAGUUCAGAGCCAGCCUCAGCAAAAGCAAGGUGCUAAGCAACUCAGUGAGACCUUGUCUCUAAAUAAAAUACAAAAUAGGGCUGAGGAUGUGUCUCAGUGGCUGAAUGCCCCUGAGUUCAAUCUUUGGUACUCUCCCCCCACCAAAUAGCAUUGGAGUAAAGAAUAAGAUGUAUUUGUUAAUAUCUGAAGAGUCUGGAGUAAAAAUUAAAUGAUGAUAUUAUUCAGACUUUAGACUUUGCUUAUCAGAUUUUGUAUGUAUUUUACAUAUAUAACAUCUGUUCAUGUUCAUGUAAGGCUUUUUAAACUUAUAUAAUUUAACUAGGACUACGACAGUUCUCUUAAUUAUUACACAAAAACCCCCAUGUAUUCUAUGAAAGGUGACAUGAAGGGUGGCGCACCAAGAUUAAGAUUCUUCCUGUUUUUAGUAAUAUUAAAUAGCAGGGGCUGGGGCUGUGGCUCAGUGGUAGAACCCAGGGCCUCACGCAUGCCCACCUCAGCACCACAUAAAAAUAGAUAUUGUUUCCAACUACAACUAAAAUAUAUAUAUGUGUAUGUAUGUGUGUGUGUGUGUAUAUAUAUAUACAUAUAUAUAUAUAUAUAAUUUAAAAACAUAGCAGAGAGUGUUCUUAGCUUUCCCAAACUGUUAUAUCUCAUUCAAUAUUUUCAAUGUGAAAACAUUGAAAAACAAGUAGAAAAUGGACUACACAGGGAAGAAUAGAGUUUUUCCACAUAAUUUUUAAGUCUACCUUGGUCAAAAUGAGUGAAUAAUUUUUGGCAGUAAAUUCAUGGUUAAAGAUUUUUGAAAAGGGGAGCUACUGUUUUUGUAAUAAUUGCAGAACUAAAAAUUUAUCUGGAUCAGCCUGGAUAGUAUUAAUGUAGUGGUGGUAUUAAUAUUUCUAUUUUUUGCUCAUCUUUUAAAGGAAAAACUUAAGUUAGUAUUAGCUUGUGAGGUACUGGGUUUGAUUCUCAGCACCACAUAUAAAUAAGUGAAAAAAAGAAAGUCCAUCACCAUCUAAAAAAUAUUUUUAAAGAAGAAUUUUGAUUGUUGCAUUUCAUGUAGGACCCUAAGUAGCUUUGAGACCAAUAAUGAGCCAUCAUAAUAUUUUAGUUCGCAAUUCAGCUAGAGUGAACCAAUGACCUGGCAAAUUCCUAUUUUUGAUCUUCUGUAUUAAUUUUGCUUCAUGGACGUAAUGUCAUAAAGUAGUUCAGCAUAGAAAAUAUUGUAGACUGAAGUAUAGCAUUCUGUUAUUCUUUUUCUGCUCUUAAAGAUUUUUUUCUCAGUAAUAGUAGGUAUUGAAGGGUAUAUUUUAAUUACUAAUAUAGCUGUAAUUUUAGUUUCCAAUCCAAGACAGAAAUUUAAUACAGUAUUAAAAUACUGAUGAAAUAUUUGUGAAGACAAGAAUAGAAGGUGGAAAUUUAUAUGUGAUACUGUCCACUUAAGUUAAAAUAGUUGAUGCAUCAAAACAGGCUUUCCUCUGAAAUUAUUAAUAUGGUUAUUUCUUUUUUAUUUUAGAUAACUCCAGACUUGGGGAGAGAGGGGGGAGAGGAGAGCUAUUUUAUCGACAGAAGAAAUUGACAUAAAUUAUUGCAAUAAAAUGAUCUCAUGAGGCUGGGUGCAAUAGUGCACACCUGUAGUCUCAGCUGCUUGGGCAGCUGAGGAGUUGGACACGAACCUUGGCAACUCCUCCCCAAACAAGAAAACAAAACAUCAACAAAAAGCAAAAUACCCCCCCCCCCAAACAAAUCCAACAAUGAUCUUAGAGAGGCAGAAUUAAAAUAACAAUAUCCUAAAUACUCUAUAAUGAAUUUGUUGAGUUUGUCAUAGAAUGUUAUUAAUAGUAACAAUAAUAGCAAUGCUUUCAUUUAAGAAUUUUGUUUACAUUUGGUACUUUAUAUCUUUUAAUCCCUUCAAAAAUACUGUUUUCUCUUAAUGUUACAGAAGAAACAGGCUUAAGAGUUUAUUACAGCUUUGGCUGCAAAUAUCAGAACAGGAGAUAAAAAAAUGGCUUAAUUGAUCAGGUUUAAAAAUAAAUCUUAAUAGAAUGAAGAUAUAUGAAAGUGGCAAUUCCAGAUAUGCUUAAGUGAAUCAAGAACAUCAGGGUUCAGGAUCAGCUUCUCUGCCAUCCUUGUGGUCUUCCUGUUGUGACUGUAACAUGGCUGCUUCAGGUUCCCAGCAUCACUUCUCUCACAGACUAGUAUAAAAUCAGGAGGAAGAGACAAGUUUUCCCUUCUUCAUGUCUCAUCAGUCAGGAAGGAAAACCUAUUCUUGUAUUAGGAGAUCUCUUCUUAUGCCUUAUUAGAAAGAACUGUAAAAUUCCUCCCGCUACACCAAUUACUGGCAAAGGUAAUGGUAUUACCAUAAUUGGCUUAAAUCAGUCAUUGUUUAUCCCCUGGGCUAGAAACAUUGCUCCCCUGUACCUGAACUACCUAAACAAUACUUGGAGUCUUUAGCAAGGACGAUGUAUCUUGAGUAGAGUAAAAUGGGUCUCUGCUUUCAUGGAGCUUUCACAUUUGUAGGAGAAAUAUAUAAGCAAAUAAAUGUACUAGGUAAAUUUGGAUAGUCAUAUAUGCUAUAAAGUAAUAAAAUAUGGGGGCUAUAGUAUAGAGAAUGACUGAGAAUCUACAGUAGAUUGGAUAGUUAGGGGAAGGUUCUUUGAGAAAAGACAUUUAAGUAGAGAUCUGACUAAUAUUGAAAGAAACAGCUAUGGGAAAGCCUUGAGGUUAGAGUGUUUCCAGCAGUUUAAAGCUACCAUUGAGGAAACUUUUUAAAAUGAGCAUAACUGCUCAAGGAUAUAUACAAUACCAGUGAAAGUUGGGAUGAAGAAGCUAUUCUUCCUUGGUUUUAUUUUUUACUGAGGAAUUGGAUGGUGGAUCCAGUUUUUCUGGUCCUCCUAGAUGGUAGGACUGAUUAUCUUUUAUCUCCUAAGCCCUCAGGAUACAGUUGUUUCUAAGGAAGACAGUGGGGUUUUUAUAAUGAUAUUGUUGGUAGAAAUAGUUAAGGUUUAUUGAAAGCCUCUUGGGGGCGGUGCUGGGGUUGUGGCUCAGUGGUAGAGCACUUGCCUAACAUGUGUGAGGUACUGGGUUUGGUCCUCAGCAACAUAUAUAAAUAAAUAAAAUAAAUGUAUUGUGUCCAUGUACAUCCAAAAAAAAAAAAAAAAAGUCUAUGGGGUUAGCAAAGAUGGUAUAGCUGGUGGCAUGGUUAUUUUGUCCUAAACCUCCCAGAUUGGAUUGGAUGCUUUUGUAGAAACCUCUGUUUUUCAUUUUUCAUGUCAAUUAUAAAUAGUGAAUAAUUUAUGUGAUGUUUUGUUUAAUGUCUUUCCUCAGAUUGGAAGCUCCAUACGGUUUAAGCAUUAUGCUGUCUAGUUCACCAUUGUAUUCCCAAUGCUUAGCACAGUGCUAGGAAUUGUUAUUAUAUGUUUGUGGAAUAAAUGAAUUAAGGAUGUAAUCAAUAAUAUGACAAAUGUCACAAAAGUCUAUUUUUCCCCUCAAUCUCCAGUUUUUGGUGCUUGGAUUAAUAUGUAAUUUCUAAAGAAGAUAUUUCUAAAAUAUAGGCAUAUAGUAGUCUCUGUGAAUUUCAGAACUAGGAGAGAGUACCUACUUAUAUUACCAUGAAACUGUGUGUUUUUCAUAUGAAUUUUUGAUAGACUACUUUGCUCAUAAACUUAAUAAUAUAAAUGAAAUUGUAUUACAGUUUUCAAGUUUUUUAAAUAUAGCUUAUUUUAAUUUAAUUUAAAUCUCAUAAUCCUGUGAAGUAGGUGAUAUCUUAAUUGAUUGUUAAGAUUUAUAAAUGAAAAUUUACUUACCCAGGUAGGAUAAUAUAGAUAUUAUAUGGUGGAGUUGAGCCAUAUUUAGAUGUUUUUGGUUCCAAGGUCAGUGUUCUUUUCAUUUUACUCUAGGUACCUCUUUUAUGAUGAGAGAUUAAUAUAUAUAUAUAUAUAUAUAUAUAUAUAUAUAUAUAUAUAUAUAUAUAUAUAUCUCAUUAAGAAUUUGAUUCAACAGAGAAUCAUAGAUUAGAUGUUAAAGUUUAUCAGUACUUUGAUUAAAAGAAAAUAUGUGUUAUAGUGUGUUAAACACAGUCCUAUACAAUAUUUAAUUCCAGAAGUGCCAUGUCUUGAAUAAAUUCUGAUUUUUAUUUGAAAUCCUUAUGCUCUUGUUAUGUAAAUUGGUCUGUGUAUGAUUUAGUAUAGUUUUAAGUUUCUGAUUUGUGAAGGCUCAGGAUAAAUUUUUUUUUUUUAAACCAAUGAACUCUUCUCUAUUCCUUUGCCAGUUAGCUUCAGUCUGGAGAGGUGGGGUCGGGAAAGAGAAAGAAAGGUUUUUUUUUUUUUCCCUUUCGUGCUUCUCUCUAAUAAGGUAGGGAAAGUCUUUCAAUAUGAAUUAUUGAUCACAUGUUCUUUUGUCCUGGUAAAAUAUGUAACAUAAAAUUUAGCACUUUAACUAUUUUUAGGUGUAUAGUUCAGUGAUAUUAAGUAUAUUCACAUUGUUGUACCCCUGUCUGCACUCUCCAGUUCUAGACCGUUUUUUCAUCCUCCUAAGCUGAAGCUGUAUACUCAUUAAACAAAAGCUUCCCACUCCUCGCUCUCCUUAGUUCUGGGCAACCACCAUUUUAUAUUCUUUUUUUAUGAAUUUGACUAUUCAAGGUACUUUAUACAUAUUUUCCCUUUUUUGGGACUGGCUGCUUUUCUUGCUUAAUCCCUACAGCAACUUCAUAAAGUAGAUGUAAUCCUGAUUUUACAUAUAGGAAAACUGAGUCUCAGAGGUUACAUAUCUUGUUCAGGGCCUCACAGUAAAUUGUAUAGCAUGUUUUCAAACUCCGGUUUCUGACUGUGCUGCCUAUUUUAGCCAUAGACUAGCCUAAGAAAAUUGAACUUCUUAAAUAGUUGGAUUUUGCCAGUUAGAAUUUAAAACUCAUUUUAAAAACUUGUUUAUUUUUAUAAUAGUAUACAUUUAUAUAUAUUUUAUAAGAUGAGAAUCCUAUUCAUCCUGCUUUAUACUAUCUCUCCAUUCCUGUAUUUAUUUAAAAAAAUGUGAACUGUCGAUGUUGGCCUCUGUUGAGCCCUCCUGAGUCAGAUCUGAAUAGCCCAGCAAUCUCUGCCCACCAGGAACUGACUCUCCAGAGGGGGAUCACUAUCAGCAAUUACCACACUGGGUAAAAAAGCACUGUAAUAGUUAUUCCAAAGAUGGUAUGAGAGUUUUGGAAAAGGGCACUGAAUCUACCCUAGGAGUCUUGAGUGUCAGGAGAUAUUUCUAAGGGGCUAUUUAUUAAAAGACAAACAUUAGGAAAAUUGAGGAGGGGUUACCUAAGGUGGGGAGAGAAUGUGUGGGGUUGGGGAGAGGAAUGAGAAAGAAAGUACAGAAAUACAAAGGCAUGAAGAGUGUGGUAUAUAGUCAUCCCUUGGUAUACUUGGUUCCAUGACCCCCAUGGAUACCAAAAUCUGCAGAUGCUCAAGUCCUUUAUGCAACAUGGUAUAGUAUUUGCAUAUAAUCUAUGCACAUCUUUCUGUGUACUGAAAAUCAUUUUCAGAUUACUUAUAAUACUAAUACAAUGUAAACAUUAUGCAAAUAGUUGUUAUGCUUUAUUGUUCAGGAAAUGAUGAGAAGAAAAAGAAAUCUGUACUUGUUUGGUAUAGAUGGAUUUUUUUUUUUUUGAAUGUUGUUGAGCUGUUUUUUGUUGAACCUGCAGAUGCAGAACCAGUUGGAUACAGAGGGCCAAAUGUAUUUGGUAAACUGCAAUAAAAUUGAUAUGAUUGGAUGUGCUGUAGAGGAUAUGUCUGGCAGGUUAAACAGGAACUAUUUAAAAUAUAACCUUGAAUGACAGCUUGACCUUGGAGGUAAAGAAUUUUAAGCAGAAAAGUUACAUCAUCUGAGGUGCAUUUUAGAAUAUUAAUUCUGGAAGUUAUAUGAAGGGUGGGACACAAGGGGAAACAGAUCUAACAGGAAACAUUGGUAAUAACUAAGCUGCUGUAACAAUAUAAAUGUGUUAGCUGUCAUCAUUCUUCUGCAUUAAUGCAGUACAUAUUUCAGGCUGUGGAAUAUAGGACCUGGGACCUAAAUGAAAAAAAUUAGGAAUUUUAAGAUGAUUAUAAUUGUUUUAGUCCCAGAUUUUGAGGGAAUAUAGGAGGAAGAAUAGGAAGGAAAAGAAGGCAGUUGAUGAGUUCAGUUUGAGGUGUUAUCCAGACCUAGAGAGAGAACAGUUUGGGAAGAAAUUUGUUAUGUAGUUUUUUUAGUUGAGAAAUCUAGGCUGGAGAUAAUGGAAUUGAGAGGCUGGGGACAGAGAAGUAACAUUUAUAAAUGUAAGGUGUUUGAGUUUUAAACAUUGUGCCAGGUACCUCAUGUAUUAUGUUUUAUUUCAUUUUGUUGAUGAGGAAACUAAGACUUCAGUAGGAUAAGUAAUUUAGACAAGUCACAUGUCAGAACCCAACUGUAAACUCAGUGUUAGCUUAUUCUUUCUUUUAAAAGAAUAACUUUAUUUUGAAAUAUGACAUUCAUAUAGAAAAAAAUGUAUAUAUCCUAGGUGUAUAGCUUGAUAAAUAUUCACUAACUGAAUACAGCAGUGUAACCAAGCAACCACAUCAAGAGAAAGGCUAUCACCAGCACUGUAGAAGCUUCACAUGUGCUCCCCACUCUGCCUGAACUUUUAACAGCAUAGAUUAGUUUUGUCUGAUUUUACCUCUUACAUAUCUGCUUCUGUCUUUUCCUUUGCAUUGUAUAUAAUUUGAAAGCAUGAGAUGGGAAUAAAGCCAUUUUUUCUUGGAAAUGUAUAGGGAGAAAGUGUGAAGAAAUCAAAGAUUUUGAGAGUUUGAGAUUGAGACCAAAAAGGAACACCAGAGAAAUAUGAAGAGUUCAUAAAAGAUUGGCAUCACAGUGAUCAAGAAAUGGGGGUUCUGAGAAUUGAGGUGUGAGUUACUAUGUCAGACACAGUAGAAUGAAUGAAGAGGUUUAAACAAGGGUUGAUGUUUUAAUUGAGAGGCCAACUUUGACCUUAGGGAUAUCAGUUUCAGUGGAGUGAACCCAAGUUAGCAUGCAGUGUUUUGAGAUGUGGAGAUAAAGUGAGGAAGAAAAGUCAACUAUGGAUAGUCUUCAGACUAACUACAAGGAAAUAAAGGGUUUUCUCUUUUUGUGUGUGUGUGGAGGGAUUUUUGCAUGUGGUGGGUAUUCUUUGUGGAAUGCCAUUUGGUUUUAUAAUUUUAGUAAAGAGGUUUUGUUAUUUUAGUAAAGUGUUUUUCAACUGCUUGGGACCAGUUUUUAAAAAAUUAUUAAAGGAUGACAAUAAUGGGAUGUUAUAGAGGACAUGGAAAGGAAGGAAGUCAGCAAGUGUUUUAGCUUUAGUAGUUAUUGAAAGUGACUGAGCAUGUACAUUUUAAAAAUGAUUUUUAGGAUAGAUUGCAUUGCUAACUUUUGUCAAUUAUUUUUUAAAAGCUUUUUGGAUCUUAUUAGAAUAAAGGGAUUAUUUCCAAGAGAUGACUGGGAAAUGACUGUAGUAUAGUUGAGAAAAUGAAAUUAUUAGCUGCGUUGUGGUUACCAAUCAGUAGGAUUAUUAGCUUUUAAAGCAAAAAUUUGGUGGAUUUUUUUUUGUCUCCACUGGUUACCAAACUUUAAUUCAUCCCUAUAGAACAGUAUCUCUAAAUUUCCUCUCUUCUAUUUAAAUUGGUAAAAGGGACACAUAAGAAUACUUGAGUAAGUAAAACCAUAACUCGCAGAAGCACAAAUUGACUUUGAUUGGCUUACCAGUACUUUUUAAAAUACUUUGUUAUUCAAGUAAUAAAUAUUCAAAGUAGAAAACUUCAAAAAUGUAGAGAAGCAAAAUAAAGAAUAUAAACUUAUAACCUUCCAGUAUUUUUUCGAUAUCCGUCCAUGCAUGGAAAAAUUUUACAUUAUUUUAUAAGAAAAAUAUCAAAAUUACUUGACCAAAAAGCACCCUUUUAAAUGUACCAAUUAAAGGGCAAAAGAAGGUAACAUAUGUGAACUUUUAUCAUUUUCCGUUCCCAUUAAAUACCUUCCUCAAAAACAAAAGUUAAAAAAAAGUUGUUUAAAUUCUAUCAUUAUUAACUCACUCUUUAAAUUCUCAUUCUGGGCCUGCUCUUUUCCAGGCACUGUACAAGGCAGUGGGGAUAUAACCGUGUGGGGACAAACCCUGCCAAGAGAAGUAAACAGGGUGUUUGGCAUAGGAACAGUUUGUGCUUGGGAGAGGUCCAGAAGUGAGAGAGUAGGAUCCUUUUAGAAACAGAAAGUUCAGUAGUGUUAUAGUGUGUAUGUUUCAGAGAGGGAUAUUUUGGAAAGGUGGUAAAGGUUACAGAGGUGAGCAACGGUUAAUUCUUGAAAGCCAGGCAAAGGCUUUGAGUUCCUCCUGAGGCCAGUGGUGUCCAUUCUGAGGUUUUUAAGGAGGGAAAGGACUUGAUCAGAUUUUACUUUCUAUCAUCCUGAAAAAAAGCAACAAGUAAUCUGAAAUGUUAAACAACAACAACAACAAAAUGCCGUUAUACCCAGAUAUGAUGAAACACAGAUGGACUGGUAAAUUUCUUUUGUCAUUUGUAACAGUAUAAACUUAUACUUAGAGGAAAGCAAAUACACAUAUAGCAAUGAUAUAAAUUUUGAUAUUAACUUUAUUUUUAUCUAAUAUUUUACUAUAAAAUUUGUAAUAUUGCUAUGUCAACAGGAAAGCUUAUAAAAUGUGUUUUAAAUUUAAAUUAUUUGUAAAAUGUGAAUUACUUACUAAGAACUAUUUCAUUAUUUAAAGUAUAUUUAAAUUAAAAAUGUAAGGUAUAAGUUAGAAAAAAUCCUGUAUGAUAUAUUACUAGUACAUAUAAAUUAUUAUAUAUAUUUAAAUCUCAUGACCAUUUUAUUAAAGCUUUGAAAAGCAGCUGAUAGUAUUUGGUUUGUCAUUUUUUUUUGUUAUAUAGUUAUAAAAGACAUAAUACAUCAAACAUUUUCAAUAUAUAUUUAAUAUAAUUUGCAACAUCUAAGAUGAGAUGAAUUAACCAAAGUUUGCAACCUUUAUUGUUCUAAUCAAAAUUCUUAAGUACUUUCAUUUCAUCAUUAGGUUAGCAUGCUGAUAUUCACUUAAAAUCAACAAUAAAGAUCAUGUGCAGCUCAAUUUACCAUUUUUCUUGAAUAAAGUGGCAUUUAUUUGAAAAACCUUCCAAAAAGGACAAUGAUAUUGAUACCAAUUUUAAAAUAAUCAGUUGUACAGGCGAGGUGAUGAUGGCACUGGCUUAAGAGUAUAGCAUUAUCUUAAAAUGUUUUCUUUAUAAAUACUCUUUGAAUAUAGGAAUCUUUCUACUAAUAAAUUCACGAGGCUUUAACAGACCAUUUCCCUUUGCUGGUUGAUAAUCUAUAUGGAAUGUAGUGAGAUUUGUUUGUAUUAUGCAUAUACUUCUCAUUAUCUACUUUGCUAGUCCUCUUGGCAAGGCUAUGAGCUUUGCAAGGUAUGAGAAUGGUAUAUGUGUUCAGGGACCUGCUGUCAUUUAGAACAGACCUGAGAGAGGGAGAUACUUAUAUCAAACUGCAAACUAAAGCCAAAAUGAAAAAUGUCUUAAUUUAGGUUUGUCAGCUCUUUAAGGCAUUAAAGAUUGCUUAGCAAUAUUUUGUAAUGUUGUCCUCAUCUAGACCCUGUUAAUAUGGAAAUUAACAUUUGUAAUUAUUUACAAAUUAAUUAAUGGCCUUUUAAUCUGUGUAUUUAAGAAAUUAUAAAAGCCAAAGAAGCAGGUACAAGUUGAUGUCACUUUUCCAUAUCAUCUGCCAGUUCAUGUAAGUACCUUUAACCUAGUAAAACAAAGGGUCUUGAAUCUUGAUUCUAAUCAGAAAAAUAUCAUCCUUAUGCCCAUUUACUUUCAAUGAAUAGGUAUUUAUGAUACAAUUUGCACUUUUCUGACAUUUGACUUUUUUUUUUUUUCCCAAAUAAAUGUAAGCCUGAUGAUGUUUUCUUUAAAAAAAAAAAUUUGGACUUCUUUUCCUUUGAUAGUUUCCUAUCUCCGCCCCCCCCCAUAUCUUAUAAACGUGGUCACAUUUUAUUCAAAACAGAAUGAGUUCAUUAAACCAAUACACAUUUGCCUUCUGGCCUAUCUUUUUAAAUGCAUGGACAUUUAACUAGUUUAAAUAAGUUCUGUUAGUAUUCAGGGCCCUUUUCAGAUAAAAAUAGCCACUAUGAGGCUUAUGGGAGAGCUUUCAGUUUCAUAAAUUAUAUUGCUACAGGCACUGUAUUGAGAAGGAAGUACUGUCUGACUGUGGCAUUUGGUCAUAUCAAGGUGAGUUAUAUAGAAGGGGAAAAGAAAUCAAUAAAAUAUAGGAUGAAUAAUUUCUUAGAUGUUAACAGAUAAUCUAUCAGCGAAAUUGGAGGGUUAAAAGAAAAAUUCUUGGGCCUGUUGGAUUUCAAAUAAUAUAAUCUGUGUAAUUAUUAAAAAAUCAACAUUAUGUGAGUUGUAUAGCUUAUUAGUGAGAAUACUUCAGUUUCAGGACUGAUUUUUCUACCUGUGUGGUUGUCUGGUGGUUUCUGACCUUCUCCUUUUAGCUGUUAUGUCUGAGAAUUCUUACAACCAUGAUUUACUGUGGCUAAGAGGCUUUUUUUUUGGUUGAAAGUCAUGGGAGCCCUCUCUAUUUCCUCUAUGUUUAUUAUUACGAGUUUCAAUUUAUUUUAUGUUCAGUGGAAUCCCAAUAUUGUUUGGGCCUUCCUUCUUUGUUAAUGUUGUUCUUUUAUUUUAUUUUUUUCUGUUGAUGAUUGAUAGUUUUUCAUCUUGCUGAUUAACACUACAAGGAGCUGAUAAAAUCUUUAUCUAUUAUUGGGAGAUUUGGGGCAUAUGUAUUUUGCCCAAGAAAGAAUGUUACAACACUUAACAAGUUUAUUAAAACAUGUUAUAAAUUCAAGUCUUUUGAAAUUAUACAAGUUAAAGAUCUUAUAACUUUGAAUUACUUUCAAAGACCUCUUUCUUUCUAAUUAUGGUAAGAUUGUUUAUUCAACAUUUUUAAAGGCAGAAAUUGAAUGUUUUUUGAAAGUACUGUUUUCUAAUCGUCUAAAAUAUGAGGAGAUCACUUACCAGUGGUGCACAAGACUUCUAAAACAGUUGAGCAGAGGGGAUGAAUUUUUUCUUUCUUUCUUUUUUUUUAAUGUUUUCUAGAAGGGAGAUAAGAUACUCUAGUGAUAUGUACAUCUUCAGAAACUAAUUUUUACCUGUAGCUAGGGUUUCUUUUAUGUCAAUCACUGAAAACAGUUGACAAAGCAAAGCAUACUACAUAUAAAAGUAGCCUUUAGAUUGCUUGUUUUACUUUUAUUUAUUUGCCUAUAUAAUUUAUUGUAAUUAUAAAUAGGGAAGUUCUUAUAAAAAACAACGAAACAGAGAAACAAGCACUUUGCCAUUCUGAUAGAUUAUGAUUUAGAGCUUAGUUCAAAAAAUUAAUAUUUUGAGAUUCCAUUUCAUCUUCAUAGUUUUGAUAGGAAACUGAACAUGUUAAAGCAAAACCAUUUAUUUAUAACUUUAAAGACAUUAUAUACAAGAUGCUAUGAGUAAAUUUAUAGAGUGCAUUGAUAUUACUAUUUAUUGCAUAUAUUGGACUCCAGGCUAUAAAUUAUUACAUCUCUGUUCUAUCAAAAUUACUAUUUUUUAUAAUGUUUAUGAUGAGGUAUUUAUACAUACUAUGGAUCAUGGAUUACCACUUUAUUUUUAUUUUUUAAAAUAUAUAUAUAUAUGUAUAUAUAUAUAUAUAUAUAUAUAUUUUAUAAAUGGACCUUUAUUUUACUUAUUUAUAUGUGGUGCUGAGAAUCAAACCCAGGGCCUCACACAUGCUAGGCAAGUGCUCUACCACUGAGCCACAAACCCAGCCCUACCACUUUAUUUUGAACAAGGGAAAAUGUGGUUUUCAUAUCUAGAAACUGAGAAAAAAGUGUUUACAAAAAUCAAAUGGUUUAAGAUCAUGUGCCAUUAUUUUUGCAUGUUUCUGAAAUAAAUUUAUUUUAUGAUUUUAAUUAUUUUUGAAGCUUUUUAAUGUAGCAUUUUAAAAAGAUUAUUAGUUAAGACAAUUUACAUAUAUGAAUAAGCAAUAAACCUUGAUUUGAUAGAAUACAUCAAAUCAAUGAACAUCUUAUGAAGCCAAGUUUAAGGCCUUGAAAUCCAAUGCUUCAAUGCCCUGCAGUGUUAAAACAGCAAGUUUUGUUCAUAUGAUUUGAUAAUUGAAAUGAGAACAGAAUUUUUCAUUUCUCCAUUUAAGUUAAUAUUAUGAUAGAAAAAUUCCAUUUAGGGUCUUAACUUAUUACCUUUCCAAUUUGUAUAUAACCAAAAAAGGAGAAAAAAAGCAAACUUUUGGGUAUUAUUUCUCCCAAGAAUCUUUAAAUAAAUGGUUCAUUGUUCUAAAAGGAUAGGCUUAGGGUAUCCUUUAACUUGGAUGAUAAUCUCUUCUGUAGAUGUGUUGAAACUUGGGACUAGAAGACAAACAUUAAUUGAACUUUAUUUGGAUAAAGUAAUUGAUUUUUUGUUUUAACCAUUCCUUACUAGAAUGGUUACUGGAACUUUUGAAGUAGAUGAGCAUUUUUUGCCUGAAGCUUAGUAAGGCAGCCAGGAAGUCUUUCCUCUUACUUGGUGUAAGUAAAGAUAACUUUUCCAUAAGAUAUUGCCAGAGAUUCAUUUGGUUUAACAGUUACAUGGACUGUUUUGUGAUUUCUUCUUGAGAACUAUAAUUCUACUCCAGGAAAAUAUUUGUCAUUUUAUUAUAAAUCUCUGGGUAUCUAAAAAAGAUAAAGAAUAUAUAAUUUCUUAGUAAACUACUAAAAUAUUUAAAUGACCCAAAACAUAAUGGUGUUAAACUGAUCCUCGUGCUGUCCCAUUGAAGUAAAUGUUAUAUUUUAUUUUAUGGACAAGGAAUCUGAGGCAAAAGCAAUUAGAAACUUAAGGUCAUACAAUUCAGUAUUUAUAGUCUCUUUUCUUGAACCCUGUUGCCAUUGAACAUUUAUUUAAUGAGUAUAGAGUUCAGUUUUGCAAGAUGAAAAAUUGAGAGAUCUGUUUUACAACAAUAUGAAUAAGCUUAACACAACUGAAUUGUAUACUUAAAAAUGGUUAAGAUGGUAAAUUUCAUAUUGUAUGCCCAAUUUAAAAAUUCUCUUAGAAGUGAUUUUCUUCUUUUUUUUUUUUAGUUGUAGUUGGACACAAUACCUUUAUUUUAUUUAUUUUUUUCUAUGUGGUGCUGAGGAUUGAACCUGGGGCUUCACAUGUACUAGAUGAGCACUUUACAGCUGAGCCACAAUCCCAGCCCCAGAAGUAAUUUUCUUACUUUCUUUCUUUUAAAUAUUUUUAGUUGUGGAUGGACAUAAUACCUUUAUUUAUUUAUUUUUAUGUGGUGCUGAGGAUUGAACUCAGUGCCUCACACAUGCUAGGCAGGUGCUCUACUGCCAACCACAACCCCAGCCCAGAAGUAAUUUCCUUUUUGUUUAUUUAUUUAAUAAAAAUUGAAUGAAAAAUAUACAGGCAGUAAAAUGUUCACCAUUUGACUCAUCUCAUUCAGUAUAAAACAACUUAAAUUUCAUCACUUAAGAGGAAACUUGAGUUUCUACUUAGUAUUGGGCUAAGAUAUAAGAAGUCUAAUUUUCUUUCCUUACUAUCAGAAGAUUAUACUUCUUUUAAAAAAAUCUAAUCGCUGAUGGAAUACUAAAAGAUAUAAAUCAGAAUGUGAUACCAGAGUAUAAGUGUAUUUUAGUUUGUCAUUCUGAAUGCAAAGUCCAUUUUUUAAAUUGAGAUAAUAAGCCUGCAGAAUUUUAGUUAUGGAUGUGUUUUCAACUAAGUAAAAUUUCUAAAUUUUUAAAGAUAUAGUUAUUCUGUAAUUGUUUUUCGGUAAUGAGAAUUUUUUGGGGGCGUACUGGGGUUUGAACUCAAAGGCUAAGUAACAUAUGCAUCACCUGAUCUAUCUACCACUUUUUGUGGUGAGACAUCUGAAUUUAUUCUUAGUUAUUUUGAAAUAUAUAGUCUUCAUUGAUCUUUAAAAAUAAUUAAAAAAUCAACUUCAUUUUCACAAGACACCAAAUUUAGUUUUUCAGUUAUAGCACUACUUGGGACCUUAAUUAUUGCAGGGAUUUAAUAAAUGUGUGGAUUUCAUUUGAUGUCACAAAUACCAAUUUGUAAAUGGGCUUGGAUAUUUGCAAAAGUUAAUUCAUGCUUGGAGCCUUUAUAUUUCAGAUGGUUUGGACAUAAAGCAAUCAAAAUCAAUUAUUUUUGUUAUAAAAGCAAUAAAAAAUGUAAUUUCUACUUAUUGGGAGAGACCGCUCCAAGUAUUAUAGCUUUUGAUACACAAUAUUAGUAUCAGGUAUUUUCUCCAUUGUAGUAAAGUAAAAGUUGAGACUAAAGGUAUUAAAUGAUUUGCACAGGGUUACUUGGCUGUUAUGUCAUUAUAUCAGGAAUAGUAUUGAAAACUUAUGACUCCUAGACCAGUGUUCUUUAUACCUGUUUUCAAACUUUGUUCUAGAAGGAACUACAAGAUGAAAUAUAGUACGAAAUGAGGACCGUAGAGACCACCGUAGAGUAGCUUCAUCAUUAAUGUUUUUAUAUAAUUGGCAUAAGAAAUGUUUCUUCCCCCUACCACUCCAUAAUGCUGCUUGGGGCUGGGGUUGUGGCUUGGUGGUAGAGUGCUUGCCUAGCAUGUGUGAGGCACAGGUUUCAAUCCUCAGCACCACAUAAAAAUAAAUAAAUAAAAUAAAGGUAUUGUGUCUAUCUACAACUAAUUUUUUUAAAUGAUACUGGUCCUUUCAGUAAAACUUUGAAAAAUUAUCGUACUGUAUAAUUGUUACUACAUUUGCUUCGGAAUGGAAGCUCUAAGUCAAAUUAAUCAGUGGUAACUCUGCAAAGGAAUAAGAAAAAAAAAGUCUGUUCCUGAAAUAUUUGGUGUAUUGACAUUAUCCUGUCAAAUCACUCUCAAUUAAAUUUAGAAUGAAACUCACACUCCUUAAUGUGGCCUGCAGAACCCUGAAUGAUCUGAUUUUGCCUAAUUCUGUAACAACAUCUCUUGCUGUUUUCCUUCUUAAUUUAUGAUCCUCCAUAUCUUUCUUUCAGUUUUUAAAUAUGCUAAUUCUUUGACACCUCAGGACUUUGUGUACGCUUUUCCUUUGCUAGUAUUUCUCUUCUCAACUCUUUCCAUGGUUCACUUCUUCAUCAAGUCUCAGAGGCCCUCCCUGAUCAUCCUUUCUAAAGUAGGCUAUCCCUUAUUCUCCAUCCAGCAUCUUAUUUGUUUCACUUUUAUUCUAUAACACAAAGUGAAAUUAUUUAGUGACCAGUAUACUCUAUAAACUCCAUCAGUACAGGGACCAUGUUUAUUUCAUUCAUCUUAAAUCCUUAAUCACUUUGCACCUUGUUGGUCCUGGAUAUUGAAUAAGUAAAUUCAGUUGAAUGAAUUUUGAGUUAUUAAGAAGUCUUAAUUUUAUUCACUGUCUUCUGAGAAAAAUCUCAAAUUUAUAUAGAUGAAGAUUUUCAUAAAAAUUGUUUUAAUGUGUUAGUGCAUAAUAGUUGGAGUAGUUAUAGCUAUGAUUUAAAGAAUGUUUGCCAGAUUCUUUCUGUGUGAUUUUUGUAAUACCCAGAAUUACUUUGUGAAGAUAAUAGUUUAUCCACAUUUUAUAGAAAAUGCAGUAGACUUAGAGACAUUUGUUGACAUUUGCUCAAAGACACUUAUCUGGUAAGUGGAAGAAUUGGGACUUGAACCUAGGUCUGUCUGUAACUAAAGUCAGCACUAUUUUCAUUCUACUUUGCUGCUUCCUAAAUUAGUGCUUAAGUUGUCUGGAAAAUUUGCUUCUGAUGAACACUUUCCUUUCCCAAUGAUGCUGGAUAAAUGAGGUGUUACUGUAAUAAGGUGCUAAUUGAAUGGCUCAGAGAGUAGGUGCAAAAGAAAUUAAAGAAGGAAAAGGUGUGUGUCGAAGUCAUCAGGGAAACUUCUUGGAAUAGUGGUGGGACUUUAGUUCCAUCAAUUAAUGCUAGGGAAAUGUUCUAAAUGCUGGACAUUGUAGGACAAAUGGAUACAAACAAGUGUAGAAAAGAAUAGAAGGUUUUUCAGUUUGGAGAAAGUGAUUAUUAGUUUAGGAAUAUGUGUAUUCUAAAAGGAGGAGGACUGGUGUGCUUGGAAUAAGAUUUAUAUUGGCAAAAAGGGGGAUAUUAAUUGAACAAGUAAAUGAGGGUAAUUAGGAGGUGGUUUUUAGACUAUACAGCAUUUAACUUUUUUGGUGGUUGCCAAGAGCAGUGACAUUGUGGUACAAGAUAAUAUUUUAGGAAGAUCAAAUUCCGUUGGCUAUACUUAGAUUUUAUAUUAUAACAGUGCAUUGGUAGUACAGUAUGAAUAAGUUUUUUUUUUGUGUGUGUGGAGGGGGCAUUCUAUCACUGACCCAUAUACCUAGCCAUUUUUAUGUUUUAUUUUGAUGCAAGGUCUUGCUAAGUUACACAGGCUGUACUUGGACUUGUGAUCCUCUUACGUCAGCCUUCUGAGCCACUGGGAUUAUAGGUAUGAGCCAUUUCACACAGCCAAGAGUGGGUUUUCUGGCCCUGGGCUUGAUUUCUAUCUUUCUACCUUUUCUACUUGCUGAAUUGUGAGCUUGGAUUAUCAUUUUACUCACUGUUCCUCAGUUUCUCCUCUGUGAAAUGGGAUUUGAACAGUAGUACCUUUUGCCCAAUUUCAGAGAUUCUGAUUCAGUGUAAUUAAGGUAUGAGGAUGCCCCGUCUUCCCAAGUCAGAUUUAGUUAAUCCUCCUGUGUAAUCCCAGAGAGUUUUCCAUUUGUUCAAUGUUUUCCUUUUUUUGUAAAUAUAUUUUUUUAGUUGCAGUUGGACACAAUACCUUUAUUUUAUUUAUUUUUUUAAUGUGGUGCUGAGGAUCGAACCCAGCGCCUUGCACAUGCUAGAUGAGCGUUCUACUGCUGAGUCACAAUACCAAUCCCAAGUGUUUUCCUUUUUUUGACCUCAGGUGUUAAGAAGUUGAAUUAAUAAAACUCCUUAGGUAAUGACAUACUAUCAGUUUUGGUAGAAUGAGGCUUCUUUCUUAUUUUAUUUUAAAUAGUUCUCAUUUAUCCCUGUUUCCCAUUCUCAUUUUCUUCCUUCAAAGAUAUUCACGCUACUGUUUUUGGAUAUGUCUGUGUCUUUAACAAAUAUAUGGUGGUGUUUUAUGCAUAUUUAUUGAUGGUUUACAUAAGUGAAGUUGUGCUAAACUUUCUCUUUUCUCAUUAAACACUUUAAAAGUGCCUUUUAUGAUAGAAAACUUUAAGCAUAUACAAAUAUGGCGAGGAUAGUACAAAGAAACUUCCGUGUGUCCAUAAUUAAGCAUCAACAAUUAUCAAUUCCUAGCCAAUUUUGCUUCAUAAAGAGUUGUAACCAUUCCUCUCCUUGGCAUCUCCUUCCCCAAAUUCUGACUCUACAAAUAAUAAUUUUGUGCUGUAGAGAUUGAAUCCUAGACCUCAUGCAUGCCUAGUCAAGCACUUUACCAUUGAGCCACAUCUUCAUCCCUACAAACUGUUAUUUUGAAGCAAAUCUAAGACAUUUUUUUCCAAAAUAUUUUAGUGCUCAAUAAACUAAACAAAAAAACAAAAAAAAAAAAAAAGGAAAAAGAAACCUGUUUGGAUCUCUCUAUAUCUGACCAUCUGGUGAUGGUCAUCUAGGUGCUUAAACUUCCUGAUACUAUAAACAGCUCUGUGAUUUUCAUUUCAUUUAUGUCCUCUUAAGUGCCUUUGGGAGAGCUCUCUCUGUAAAAAAGAAAUACACAUAUUUCUUUAUUUUUUAAAUAAUAUUUAUUUUUUAGUUGUAGUUGGACACAAUACCUUCAUUUUAUUUAUUUUAUGUGGUGCUGAGGAUCAAACCUGAGGCCUCUCAAGUGCUAGGCGAGUGUUCCUCCGCUGAGCUACAACCCCAGUCCCCCCACAUACUUCUUUUCACUAAAUACUGACAACUUGAUUUGCAGCAUGUCUGAACAGGUUGAAUAUAUCUUGUCUGAAGUGCUUGGAGCUGAUACUGUUUCAGAUGAAAGACAUUUUUAGAUUUUGGAAUAUUUGCACACAUUCAGUUUUGGGGAUGACCCAAGUCCAAACUGAAAUUGUUUUGGACUGAAAUGAAAUUGUUUGUAUUUCAUAUAUGCUUUAAAUAUAUAACCUGGAGAUAAUUUCGUACAAUAUUUUAGUGCAUCUGUUUAGAUAGUUAUUGUCACAUGAGGUCAGGUGUGAAGUUUUUUACUUGUGGUUUCAUGUUGGUACCCCCAACUUUAAGAUUUUGUUGUAUUUCAGAUUUUUGGAUUAGGGUUGCUCAAUCUACUUUACAUGCUCACUAGCAGUACAUGAGAGUACUUUUCCCCUCUAUUUCCACUGGUACUUAGUAUUAUUUCACAUUAUAUUUUGUCAGUCUGAUAUUUAUGAAGUUGGUUAUUUCUUCACAUACUUGUUUUCUAUUAACUUAGAGCCUUCUUGCUGUUUUUUCUGUAUAGAAAGCUUCUUUAUAUUCAUGAUUCACUCAUUUCAUUUAAAUCUGUUUAAAUGUUACAUCUUGAGAGACUCCCUGAAAGAGUAUUCAAACACUUUCUAUCUUUGUUCUGCCUUAUCUUUAUUCAUAGUAUUUAACAUAAUAAAACAUUAUAUUAAUUAUGUAUGUAUUUAUUUCCUCUGCUCAAAUUCUUGAAGCAGGGUUAUUGUUCACAUCCAUAUCCCUGACCCUUAAAAAUAGGUGCUCAAUAAAUAUUGGCAGAAUAAAUUGAAUUGUCUAUUCAUUUGUUUUGCCUAUUUUCCUGACUUAGUAGGAGUUCCUUAAUUAUUACAGACAUUAAUCCUAACUGAUUUUAGAUGUGGUAAUACAGCUUGUUAAUUUUAUCUAUGGUAUCCUCUUUUGAUAAGGAAUCCUUUCUUUUCUUUUCUUUUUUUUUUUUUUUUUUCAGUACUGGGGACCCAAACCAGGUUCUUGUGCAUGCUAGGCAAGUUCUCUACCACUGAGCUAUAUAUACCUCCUGCCCAGGCAAUCUUAAUUUUCAAGUACUUAAAUCAUCACAUCACAAUAUGUAAAUCAAUACUUUGUGAUCUGAAGAAAACGUUUUCUAAUUUGUAUGGCAAGUCCCUCUAAAUUUUAUUCUACUUGCUUUACAAUUUUAUAUUUUGUUUGUGGUCUAUAAUCCCUCAGGAAUUUACCUUUGGGAUAUGAGGUAUUUGAUUGUGUUUUUAUAGUAUGUGAUUGUAUUCUUUCUCCUACAGAAUGCAAGCCUUUAGUACUUCUGCUGAUUAGUAGCACACCCUUAUGAGUUCUUCCUCAGAUUUAAUUUAUCAGUUGUCUAUUUCUGUUUCAUAUCACAAUGUUUCUAUUAUAGUGACUUAGCACUGUGUACUAAAGUAUGGCAAGAAAAGUCCUCCUUCUUUUCAAAAAUUGACUUAGGAAUAGUCAUAAUAGUAGUGAACACAAUCAAGUAACUAAUUUAGAAAAGAAAGUAAAAGAACAGGGCAGGAUAGCAGUAUCUGUGGUCUCAGUUGCUCUGGAGGCUAAGGCAGGAGAAUUAUUUGUGCUCAGCAGUUUGAAGCUACCCCAGCAGCAUAGCAAGACUCCAUCUUCAAACAAACAAACCAACAAACCAACAAGAAUGUACAAGAUAGCUGGGUGUGAUGGUUCAUGCCUAUAAUCCCAGUGAUUCAGGAGACUGAGGCAAGUUUGAGGCCAGGCUCAGCAACUGAGUGAGACCAUCAGUAACUUAGCAAGACCUUUUGUCAAAAUAGAAAAUAAAGGAAGGAUGGGGGAUGUAGCUUAUAGUUCCAUGGUAAAGCAUCUCUGUUCAAUUCCCAGUACCAACAAAACAAAAUAAAACAAAAACACGAAAAAAAAAAAAACCCAAAAGAAUGCACAAGACCAGGAAUUAUAAAAUGAUUGAAAAGCAUAAAAGAAGACAUUAGUAAUAGGAGAGAAAUACCAUGGGAUGACUUGGUGAUACAGAGGUGUCAGUUCUCCCCAAAUUAAUUUAUGAAUUUGAUACAACUGUAAUAAAAGUUUCAUUAAGAUUUUUUUGCAUACUUCAAUAUAAUUAUUUUAAAAUUUAUUUGGAAUAUAUAUGUCAAUUUGUGAAAUAAAUGCACACUUUCAUAGUAUUUUUUAUACCUUUUUAAUGACUAAUUUUAGCAUUCUUAUAGAUGAAGAGUUAAUUCGAGGCUGUAGAGAAGAAGGAAAAGCCUCAGUUAAACAUUUUUAUUAAAAGUGAUAGAAAUCAUGAUGGUGUCAGCAAGUAACAAUCUCAGCAUAGAAGCAUAGAAAAAGUAGAAGGCAAAAAGUGAGGGGUUGUUGGAUAAAUACAUACUCCUUCCUCAAUUCUGGGAAUAUAACUGGUAAGAACAGAGAACUAUAAUAUCCCUCAUUAUUAUGAUAUUACUAUGCCAUGCUAAUGACAUAUACCAUGUCUAGUCUAACAGUCAACAUUUAUAGGGAAUAAUUACUGUCUGGGGUAUAGUAUCUAUAGCAGAUAUCUCUGUGAUGUAGCCAAUAAAUGAUACUCAGAAAUAAUGAUGACUGGGCUAGCAUGCGUGAGGCACUGGGUUCGAUUCUCAGCACCACAUAUAAAUAAAUAAAAAAUAAAGGUUCAUCAAUGACUAAAAAAAAAAAAAAAAACAGAAAAGAAAUAAUGAUGAUCACAAGUAAUUAGGAAGACCUUUAAAUAUAUUGUUUAUUAGUUUAAAGUGGGAGGGAAGUAGGUGCCAGAGAGUUUCAAUAAAAUUAGUUACAGUACAGGUAUAUCUUCACUUGGGUUAAUGUUCAUCCAUUUAGAAAGUAAGUGUAUCUAAAUAUACUCAAAUUGUAGAGUCAAACUUUUAUUUUCUCUAUAUCUUGUAUACCUUCAAUUGUGUAUACUCAUAAACUGAAAAUAGAAUAAAAUUACUCUUUAUGUUUUUUUCAGGAUUACAAGUAGAAGAAUGGAGUUGAGGGAAAUUAACUUCCAUAUUAUGCUACCAACAACAAUAGAUGUCUGAGUUGGAGGAGUUCUGUAGAAGUUAAGAAAGAUAUUUGUGAAUAUUUUUAGGUUCGGUGAGCCUCAGACCUAUCUAGAAGGAUUAAAUAGAUGAUUUAUUGUGAAGUGUAGGGAUUGGAUUACCCAUGUUCAGAUGCAGUGACUAACCAUCCUUUCAAAUAGUAGGCUUAACAUUUGUUGUGACUUGAUUAGUAGUUGGUGAUUUCAGGUCUCAUACUAUUGUGAUUGUUUUAUAAAAUUACUGAAAAUAUUGUUAAAGCUGGAGGAUGAUGAAUGUACUAGAGAAUGUGGAACUGAACCUGUCUAUCUGGUUACUUUAUUUCCAUUUAGAUUUUUUUUAAGACUUUUUUUUUUUUUUUUUUUUUUUGUAGACAGGCUCCAAACAUGUGAGACAAGCAGCUCUACCACUGAGCCACAGCCACAGCCGCAGAUCCAUUUAGUUUUGUUUUAAAACCAGUAUUCUACUUAAUAUUUUGUUUCAUGAUGAUUGUUACUUAGUAAAGCAUGCCUGUGAUUGUGAAAAUAAUAAAAUAAAAAACAGAAUCCCACAUUAUUGAUGUACUAUAUUUGAGUGUGCCUUAAAUAUAUCCAGUUUUACUUUUCCAUGGAGUAAUCAGAAAAAUGUGCAUUAACUGUUCAGUAGUGAAAUGAAUCUUACCAGUUAAAAAAAAAUCAAUACAGAGAUUUAAGAUCUUCCUAUGCUUAAACAUAUGUUGUACUUGACUAAAGCCAAAUUAGAACUCAAUAAAGGAAGCCAAAUUGUGAAUUCUAAAAGUGCAUGACUGUUGGCAUUAAAAUAGAACAAAAAUUUUGUUUAGAACUUUAGCAGAGGAGAAAGGGAAAUGCCGUAAUAUUUUUUUAAAAAAAUAUUUAUUUUUAAGUUUUAGGUGGACACAAUAUCUUUAUUUUACAUUUAUGUGGUGCUGAGGAUCAAACCCAGUGCCUCGUGCAUGCUAGGCGAGUACUCUACUACUGAGCUACAACCCCAGCCCCAAUACCUUAAUAUUUAUCUAGUCAGGUGUCUUGUCUUUUUUCUGUGAUAAACACUAGUAGUUGACAUCUUUGAAAUCCUGAGGCAUUUUUUUGUGUAUAUUCCUUUUGUUGAAAUUUUAUGCAUACAUUUAAAUAGUAGUUAUUUGUGUAGCUUAAGAGUUUAGAAUUUAUGCCUUUUUAACACCUGAAAACUUAAAUGCUCUGAAUGAUCCUGACACCAAUAUUUAUAACUUCCUUAGAAGUUGUAGCAAAGGCUAUAUCAUUAUUUUGAUGGGUUAUGGUUCAGAUUUCAAAUUAUGGUGUAAAUGAUCAGUAUAAAGUCUAGGGAAGACUAUUUGGGAUGAAAACUCUGAUACAUUUACCAAUGAUGCAUGGUAGUGGUGACAUGGGGGGAAGUAGGAUCUGUGGUGCUUCUAGGUUUGGAGAUGGCCUUUAGUUUAGAGAAACGCAAACUGGUUGGUGUUAACAGAGUUUGUACAAGAACAAUCCAGGCCACAUUAAUCAUGAUUUUUAUUUUCUGUGUUUUCUGAUGCUUUGACAUUUUUGGGCCUUGCUGAUUGGGGACAGAAGGCCCCUCUAGUGCUAGCUAAUUCCUAGAGAUAGCAAAUGACUCCCCUGGGUGUCAUUUUUCAUAUGCAAAAGUGUCACUCUUUGACCCAUACUACCAACUACUUUUAAAACAUGGUCCUAGCUCUCUUCUAGAGUUCCCUUAUCUGUCUCUUGCCAGGGUUCAGUUCAAGCUAAUAAUCAAUAUAGGUAGUUAAGACUUUAGCACCUACAGUGUUUGCACUGUCACAGUAUUUCUACAUACUACCAACUACUUCCUUUGUUGAGCUCUGAUGGAUUGAACUACUAUCCCCCAGCCCUAUAUCAUCCCAGAGCCAGGUAUCAGGCAACUAGGGACAUCUUUUAUACACCUAAGUUCGCUAAAAUUAUUCAAAUGAAGCAAUCCUAAACUGCUUACCUUGCCCUGAUUUACCUGCUAAGACCAUUAUAAAGGCCUGUGCCAAUCUUUCCCCUCACACCUGCCUCCUUAUUGACGCUAGCAUUUUCCCUAGUGGAUGCCUAUUCCUUCUGGAAAUUGUGAGCAAUAAACUGUUCUUUCAAGGGUAUAGUGUCUUUGUGUAUGUCAUUUUACUCUACUCAAUGAAAACAAAUCCCAGGUACCUUUUAAAACAUGGUCCUAGCUCUCUUCUAGAGUUCCCUUACCUGUCUCUUGCCAGGGUUCAAUUCAAGCUAAUAAUCAAUAUAGAUAGUUAAGACUUUAGCACCUACAGUGUUUGCACUGUCGCAGUGUUUCUACAGCGUCCAUACCGUAUUAUGGGUAUUGAGAAGACCAUGCGGAACAUCUCUUGAGAAGUAGUGGAUUUGGCUAGAUCCAUAUUUGGCUGGAUGGAAGAUAGUAAUCUACCCUUUCUUUUUUUGGAUCAGUUUUAGCUCUUGGUAGGGUAGAAGAAGAGAGAGAAGUGGUGGCUCUAUGUCUUGGAGAAGGUUAUCUAGAUAACCUUAGAGGAAAGUCCACUGGCAGUCGCUCAUCACUGUAAAAGGAAUGGAACCAGAUCUCUUAUACUACUGCUUAUGACCUGAAAACAACCUAUGAAUUUAUAGCAGCAGUUUAUUAUCAUACUUUGUUAUGGAAACCUGUGGUGACUUCAUCUGGAUUCUAACAUAUAAACAAGGAUUUUAAUAAAAAUGCUGUAGGAAUAAAAAUAAUAAAUGUUUACUGAAGAAAGUGAUACUGUAUAAUUUUGCCAAAAAUGUAUUCUUAUUUUGAUAAAAAUGUAAAUGGAGGAUAAUUGGAUGAAUCCCCACAAAUUUAGUGUUCAUUAAAUAUCAGUUACAUUUUAAAUGAGAGAUUUAUGUAAGGGAUUUAUAACAAUGUCUGGAUUAGAAAUGUCCUUGGAAGUUUACAUUAGAAUUUCUGUGUUUCAAACUGCCUUUUGUUAGUUAAGGAAGCAAAAGACUUAUUUACUGAGGUAUUACAUGUAGCUAAAUAUUAGGGAAGACUUUGUUAGUGCACUUCAUACUUAGAUUCCUCUAGGGAUGUAGUUUCAUUGAAUAUUGACAAGUUGACAAUUUUUUUCCCCAUAGGUGGCACUCCUGCAACUAUCAGAAAUGCAAUAUUUAUAUUCUUAUCAUAAUUGUAUUAAUGAAUUUAACCAAUAUAGGACAAUAUAUCUGUUCACAACUUGCUUGGUGAAGCUAAUCAAGCCCUAUCCUCCACCAAUUUCCUGAUCUAUUUUCCUUUGAAUGUGAGAAUUUUUUUCCCACUUAGGUUUCCUACCUCAGCAGCCUAAGCUCUCUUUCUGGUAGUAGACUGUUUGGGAGUUGCUAGAUAACCUCUGGCAUGAACUAGUGUUUUGCCUGCUUUCAAAACUAAUAGAUCUUUCUGUGUUUUCAUUUUUUAAAAAUCACUGUUAUCUCUUAUUUUUCUCAGCUUUUGUGGGGUUUUUUUCUUUGUUCGUCAGUUGCUUCAGAUCUACUUACUCUAGUUAGCCCUCAGAAUUCUGUCACGGUGCUACAUUAUUUACAUUAGAGCUAUAGAACUCUUUUCCUUAUAUUAGUUCCUAAAAUGUAUUUCCCUGCUGAUCAUGUGUUGCUGUGAGCUUCUCUUGUCUACCUGAUUUUUAAGACUUUUUUCCCCCCUAGUUAUUUGCUUAAUGUCUGGGACAGUAUAAAGUCUAUUAUAAAAAAGAAAAACUUUUACAUUAAUUAUGAAAAAAACAUACUUAAUAUACUUACAAGAUUAGAACUCAAAUCAGGAGAAGUACCACCUGCCUCAGUUAUGUUAACUUUUUUUUUUUUUUUAAGAAAGUCUGUAACCACUACUUUCUCUUGAUUGAUUCUGGUCCCUUUUAGAUAGGCUUUUUGAAUUGCUUUGGUGCAGGUUAUAUAAUUUAAGGUCGAAGAGAUAAUAUAUUAGAAAACACUAUCACCUUAAGGAAUAUGUAGAAUAAAAGAAAAGUGAAAAUAUAAAUAGAAACAUGAAGUUAAUUUGGUUUGUGACAAAAGGAUAGAAGCAUUAAAAAUUAAGAAGGUAGAAAUUUUUGAAAUGCACAAUAAGUUGAGUUUUGUGGUGAACAUGCUUUUUCAUAUGUUAUCUUUAUGUAAAGUGGGUAGAAAGGAGGAAAUGGCAGUAUUAUUCAAUAGUUUAAAUGUCAUAUAUUUGAUUCCAUGGGUCUGUGAAUUUCUACGAGGCAAGUUGUUGGAUCUGGGAUUUGAUUUUUAUCUAUUUAUAAGUAAACUAUUACUGUUUCAUGGGUCUGAUAGAAUACAUGAAAUUCCUAGGUUAGAGACAAAAGGCUUAGUUAUUCAUUUCAGAGCAAGCAGCAUGGAAAUUAACAUAUUUGUUUCAGUUCUCUUUGCCUUCAAAUCCCAUGGGGCUGAUACAAUAUGGUGCACAUAGAUGUCGUAAAAUAGAGAGUUGCUACUGAGGAGCAUUGAGCAUGGGGAAUCCACUGCUUUUAUAAUAAGCAAGAGUGCUCUCAACUUGAAGUAAUCUCAUCACCCAAGUUUGCUCACUGCAAACACAACUUUGACAAAUGGUUGUAGUAAAGAGUAUUCAGGAUCUUGCAUUCCUUCAAUACAUAUAAGACUAUGGGAGGCCCAUAUAGGAAUGUCUCCCAGUAGAUUGUUUUAAGAAUCAGUAAAUAUUCUUCUGUUUUUUCUUAAGUUUUAAAACUGCAAAUAUUGUAUUUAAAGAAUAGUUAAUUAACUCAAGGGAAUUUUAACAGAGGAUUGUUCUAGUGAGUUUCAAGCCAUGUAUUUCCUUAAUUGUACAAAAAUAUAAAACUUAUAUCAAAUUUAUACCAGCAUACUAAGGAUAUGUCAUUGUGUUAAGCAGUCAUUUUGCUGUAGCUUACUAUUUACUAAACCCUGAGGAUACCAAGAUUAAAUACGUAUAGCAUUGAUUUCUGGGCUUAGGAUCAAGUGGAAGAGCACAGAGGUAAUUUGGUUGUAGUAUAGUAAGUAGUAUUGCAGCAGUAGUAUUUCAUAUGUGGAGAAAAAGCCACUAAAAGUUCUAAGUGUGGAAAUGCUAGGUAAGAUUAGUUUUAAUUUAAAAAUAUCACAUAAGUAACACUGAGUUUGGAAGACAGGUGAGGUUGAUGCUAGAGGAAUGGAGACUCCUUAUUAAGCUACUCUGGCAACUCAGGUAAGAUUUGGUAAAGGACUGAACUAAAUCUGUAUCAAAAUAAGUUGAGAAGUAGAAAGCAGUUCAAGAAAGAUUUGAGGAACUCAAUUGACAGGGUGCCAUUAAUAGGAUGACAGCAGCAUGGAAAAAGUUAUAGGGGAGGUAAUAUCUAACAAACAAGUUCAGUUCUGAAUGUGUUGAGUUUGAAUUACUUGUAGGGAAUCAAGGUGGAGAUGGCAGUUAGAUUGUGUAUAUGAAUUUAGAAUUAAGAAGGCUUCUAUGUAAAUUGGUAUCCUUAUUCAUUUUAACAAAUAUUUAUUUUCUGCCACAUAUAAGGUCCUAUGCUGGGUGCUAAGGACCCAGCAUUGAACAAGAUUUAUUCUCAUGUAAUUUAUAUUCCCAUAGGGCGUAGACAUUAAGCAAUAACAUAGAAAAUUAUUUUAUUAAAGUGCUGCCUGCCUUAGAGUCUAAAACUUUGCCCAUCCGGGGGGACAGUCCCCAGGGUACCAUUCAUGUAGAUGUAAUGAGCAAAUAUGAGGGCCUUACUCAGGAUGAAUCGAAGGAAUCCUUACAGGCAAAGGAAAUAAUAACAUGUGCCAAGGCUCUGAGGCAAAAAAGAUACUGGUGUGUUUAAAGAACUGAAAGAUUAGUGUGGUGAGGCAUAAACAACCUGAGGGAAAAUGUAUAAAAUUAGGCUAAAAUGGAUGAAAUGAAGCUAGAGGUAAAUGUUGGCAAGGAUCAGGUUAUAUAGGGCCUUCCAGGCAGGGAAGUUAUUUUGCAGUUUUUUCUAAAACAAAAAGGAGCCAUUUAAGAGUUUUAAGGAAUGUUCCAUGACAUUAAAUUUGCAUGUGUGUGUGUGUGUGUGUGUGUGUGUGUUUAAUAGAUCAUUAUGAUUGAUGGGUAAUGCUUCAGAAGGCAGGUAGAAGUGGACUCUGGGAGAUAGGAUUCUAGGCAGGGAAUAAUGAUGGCUUGGACUAGCUGGUAGUUGUGGACAUGAUGAAAGCUGGGAGGUCUAAACUAUUUAGGAGGUAGAACUAAAUAGUUGGUGAUUGUCAUUUAAAAUGGUGUCAUAUUGUUACUGGAGUCAUCUAGAGUGAGAAGAGAACAUGGAGGAGGAAAUAUUAUAGUAUAUGAAUAUUUAAGGGGUAGGCUGAGGGGAAGGAUUCCACAAGGAGAGACAGAAAUGGCUAUAAAGAGGAAGAGAAUCGUGAAAGAUCCAAGUCAAAGAAUGGGAGUUUAAGGAAGGAAAACCAUUUUAACUAUCCUUAUGGCAAGGAAUAAAGAAAAAAAUGUCUAAAUAAGCAAUACAGGAGGAUAAGACAAUUUAAGGAAUAUCUAAAGGUAUUAGAGAAUGCUAAUAAUAAAAUAUUAACUGAAAAAUUAUUAUGUAAAUUUGCAUAUUCAGCUUGACCUCCAAAUUUUAUUUUAAAAAGUCUACAUGUAUUAUUAUGUGUGUAUGCAGCAAAAAUAGUCAAAGACAAUACUGUAAUAUACUGAUAGUUUUAUCUGAAAUGGUGAAAUUCCUUAUUUGUGCAGUUUUUAAAUGAUAUGAGCAUAUAUUAAUGUUAUAUUUAGGAAAUUAUUUUGAUUUAAUUUUGUCAAUGUUUUUUAUGCAUGGUUAUCAGUGUUUUAGAAGCACAUUGUAUAAAGAAUACUGGUCAAAUAGUUCUUUGAUGUUUAUAGUGGAAGACUGUAGUGUUUACUAAAGCAGUUAUCACAUUUUCUCUUUCUUAGGGACAACCAUCUUUAGUUAUUUUGGCUGAUUUUUUUUUUUUUUGUACUUGAUUGUUUCUCCAAAUAACAAGCUUAUAUUGCCACUACUUGCUUUAUAAAAGACAUUAUCUACUUAUUUCCCACAGUGGAAGUUAAGAAUUUUGUUCUUUUCACUAUCUGUUCCCACAGCUAUACACAUUUCUUUCCUUCUUCUUCCAACUGCUAUUCUAAUUUUGGUUGGAGUGGUAUUUAAUGUUUACAUUGUUAUAACUAAACACUAUUCAUAGUAGUAUUCUAUGAUAACUUUCUCUUUCUUGUAUAGUUUUGUUUUUACUAGGUAUACUUGUUAAAAGGUGGUUUAGUUUUUCUCUCAACUCCAUUCUGAUCAUAAAUAUCCUCUUAAUUAUUCUGUUUUAUUUUCUUGGUGAUAUACCUAUGAGACUCAUACCUAUUCUAAUCUAUACUAGUUGCUUUCCUUUUUUUUUUUUUUUUGUAUAGUUGUUAUCUUGGUCUCUUCCUCAUUAUCAUUUUAAGGAUUCGUUUUAUUUCUUUCUUGUCUCUGAUCCUUUAUUAGUCAGAUUUCUAUUGCUGUGACAAAAUACCUGAGAAAAAUUAACAUAUAAGGAGGAGUGAUUUAUUUUGGUUCAUUAUAUCUGAGAUUUCAGACCAUGGUCACUUAGCUCCCUUGCUUUGGGCCCAUGGUGGUACAGUCCAUCACGGUGAAGAGUAUAUUACAGAGGAAACUGCUUACCUCAUGGCAACCAGAAGCAAUAGGGAGAGAUAAGAAGGAGCUGGGUUGUGAUAUUCCACAUUAGAGGUUGGUGAUCAAGUCUUUAGCAUAUAGGCCUUCAGGGGACAUUUAAGACAGAAAUUAUAAUAGAUCCUGUUACCCAGUUUCCUCUUUGUUGGGUUCUUACUUUGGUGGAGCACAUUCUGUAGUAGCAUUCUGAGUAUGUGGUAGUUUCUUUGGACCUAGAAAAUAAUUUUCAGUUCUGGCAGUUUUAUUAAUUUCUUUGAUAUCUUUCCCUUAGUUUCUGCAUAUCUGAUUUCCUUCUCUUAGUUUCUGUGUAUUGUGUUGGAAUUCCUAUUUGGUGUUGCAGGAAUUUGGACUAAUUAUUUUAUCUUUUCAGAUAUUUUUCAAAUCUUUGUUUUUGGUUUUCCUUUACUGGGAGAUACCCUCUGUUUUAUCUUCCAACCUUCUAGAUUAAAACAAUGCUCUUAUUAUUAGACCUCUAUAUUGUUCUUGUUUCAUGGUUGCUUACAUUCUGUUCUCUCUGGGAGGAUUAUUAAUGAUAGUUUUUGGAUAUGUUCUCCUUUUCUUGUAUUAUCUCUUUCUUCCACAUUACUCUUUUUUGCUUGCUUGUUUUGAUCUCAGUCUCUCUUAUUUUAGACUCUCCUUUAAAUGUGUGUUGAUCCUUGUUCAUAUACACAUACUAAAAAGAGCUCCAAAAAGUUGACUAGUAGUUCUAUGACUCUGGAUGUGGCUUGUGGAGAUAUGGGUUUCAGUUUAUGGUAAUAUGACUAGGCUGUUUAUUGGGGAAGCUCCAAUGUCUAUUAUCAUUUUAGGAAUUUUAUUUUAGGGGCCUAGGGAAGAGGCAUAAUGUCCUUCAGUGCUUUGUAAUCCAAAUUGGGGAAGAAACACAUGAAAUUUCUCUUUAGUCCUUUCUUUUUAGUGUGUUUUUAGCUUGCCUUAGGAUAUUCAGCAAUAAGGCUAUUUUAAAAAAAUCAAUUCUAGACAAUAAACCUCCAGUCUUCUGCUAGGACCAGAUAGGGACAUUCAGCUAACUAGAAUGAGGGAAGGUGGAAUGGGGAAUUGGGAAUCUAACAGCUAUUUAAGCAGAAUUUAAAUUAAUCCCCCUCUCCCACUUGUGGAGUUACCUGGUGCCACCAGUUUAGUCUUUUGGAGAUUGUGUCAUGUAAACCUACACUACUUUUCACCUUACUAUUUAGAUUUCUUGGGUUGGAAAAGUGAUUUACCAUAUUUUGUUAUUGUUAUAUCAUCUUGUGGACUCUGUCGUUGUGAAUUUAAGCUUUCAAAUAUUGUUAUUUUGGUGGGAAAAUGUGGCUGUAAAUGUUAAGUUCAGUUCAUAGUCUUUAACUGGAUAUUCAUAAUCUUUAUUUUUUGAAAACAUGAUUUCUUCCCUUUUCUAAUACAUAAUAAUUGACAAAGACAUAUUGCUAAUUGAUGAUCCUUUUUGUUAGAAGAUCUGGUGAAUAUCCAUCUAUCCAUGAGCUUUGUUUCAGCUUUUAUGACUUACUGAGACAAUAAUGUUUGGUAUUUUACCUGAGAGUUAGUGAUUGUUGAUGGCUACCAAAGGAAAUCCAAAGAAAUGUUUCAGGAUAAAGUACAGCUAUUUAGGCUACAAUAAUACCAGCAGAGGUUAAAAAAAAAAGUAAUUUAAAUAGCUUACAGUUGUAUAAUAAAAAUCAGACGCUAAAUCUUCUACUGACUACUAACUCUUCUAAGCAUCAACUUUGUGGAGUAGAAACGAUUAUUAUUCCCCUUUACAGAUGAGGUAACCUCAGUACAGAAAGGUCACACAGUUUUGCUAUAGUCAACACAAAUAAACUGGGAAGUGGAGAAGUAAGCAUAUAAGUGGUCUGGCUCCAGAACUCUCUGAAAUCAUUGUGUUAAACUAUCUUUUUAUACUGUUGUAAUGAUGAUGAUGAUGGUGGUGAUAUCUUGUUAGAGAUUUCUAGGUUUUACUCUUAUGAGGUGAAAUGAUCAGUUUUACUUUUCUACAUAUCUUUAGGUAUUAUUUAUCAUAACUAGUCUCAGACUUCAAAAUACUGCUUUCUUUUGGUGAUUAUUCCUUUUUGAGAUACAUUGUUGCCUUAGACUUUUCUGACAUAUCUUAAAAACCUUGACUUCUUUUCCCUUAUACAAUGGAUAUAUUUCUGAUGAUCCUCUUUUUGAACUGUAAUAGAUUUAAGCUUUUCAAAGACUAUCUCCUGCUUCCUUAAGCUGUUUUACUUGAACAUGUGGUUAAUUUUUGGAAGUGGUGAGCUUUAGGUAAAUAUUUCUUUUUCACACACAAUUAAGUAUUAGUUAUUUUGAAGGGGAAUUAUCCAUCUUUUGGUACGUAUAGAAGAGAUACUUCACUGAGACCUAUUGAACAGAAUCAACUAGUCAGCUGAGUUUAAUUUUUAAAAACAUAUGAGUCCUUUGUUUUAGUUCUUAAAAAGAUGCUGUUAAAGACAAGUGCCUGACUAUUAUUUAAUUACCCUUCCUGCAUCAAUACAUGAAUAAAUAGCCAACUUUAUAGAAUUAACCAUGUUUUGCCUUAGACUUUUGUACCCUCUUAACUACUUCCAAUUUAUGCCUGAAAGGAAAGAAACAGAUUUAUUAAUUUAUUGUUAUUAAAUGAAUUUUAAGAGCAUUAAGUAUAGUUAACUUAUAUAUAUAUAUAUAUAUAUACACACACACACACACAUAUAUGCAUAUGUAUGUGUAUAUAUGUAUAUAUAUAUAUACAAAAAAAUAUAUUUGCUUGCCUAGUUCUUUAGGUUUUAUUUGUGUUAAAGUUAUUAAAAUAAUUACUAAUUUAAUACAUUUUGGAACUAGAUUUUUUUACAUUAUUUGCAGAUUUUUUUUUAAUUUUUUAUUGUUGGUUGUUCAAAACAUUACAAAUUUCUUGACAUAUCAUAUUCCACACUUUGAUUCAAGUGGGUUAUGAACUCCCACCUUCACCCCAUACACAGAUUGCAGAAUUACAUCAGUUACACAUCCAUUGAUUUACAUAUUGCCAUACUAGUGUCUGUUGUGCUCUGCUGCCUUUCCCAUCCUCCACCAUCCCCCCUCCCCUCCNCUAGUUAUUAACUUUUGUGCUAUGGGUGUCCUAUUGAGGAAUUUGGAGCCCGACCCCACAGAAUGUAGAUCGUAGCCAACUUUUUCUUCUAUCAGACGGCAUGUCUCUGAUUUGAUAUCAAGCUCCUUGAUCCAUUUUGAAUUCACUUUUGUGCAUGGCGAGAGAAAGGGAUUCAGUUUCAUUUUGUUGCAUAUGGAUUUCCAGUUUUCCCAGCACCAUUUGUUGAAGAUGCUAUCCUUCCUCCAUUGCAUGCUUUUAGCCCCUUUAUCAAAUAUAAGAUAGUUGUAGUUUUGUCUUAUUCCCAUGUCUGUAAUGUUCAUUUCUCCCUGUCAAGUAUUGGUUGUUUCCUGUGUUGAAACACAGCUUUCUGACUUGUUUUAGAAUACAUUCAUAAUUUUUUUCUAGCUCAUUCUCAUAAGAGUGAUGGUUGGGAUUCCCUCUGCACUCAGGAAUUCAUUCAUACUAUGUUGGAGGUAAUGUUCAUUUCAAUGGAAGUGUGCUUUUUAGUUUCCUGUUUGUAGGUUUGCAUUUUUCAACUAACACUGAAAAAGUUGUUUUCUAAUUUAGGUCCUCAUUAUUCCAUCCACCAGCACCUCAUAUUAUACUUUAGCUUUCAAAAGACUAUAAAUGUUGACACCAUAAUUCCAUAGGAAAAUGUGACUAAAUUCUAUGGGCCCUUAUAAUGUCAUUUAAAAAAUUAUCAUCAUCUGUUCAUUCAUAAUCAAGAGCAAUACUAGCAUACCAGUCUUGAUCACAUAAUUCCUUGUUUGAGAUUCAUUGAGAAGGUAAAACUGAUGUAAGACACAAAAGUGUUUCCAAAAGCAUUGCUUUUCUUAAGAAGUCACAUUUCCAUCCCAAAGUAUCCUAUUAUUUAAUUUUACCCUUUACAUUUCUAUUAUAAUUGGGCCGGAGUUUCCAUUUUAUCAUAUAAUCUUUCUAAUUCAUGGCAAUUGGAUCAAGUAUAGUUUUGUCAAUAGAAUAUUCUCAGUUUGAAAUUAAUUCUUUCGAAAUUUUGUUUUCUAAUUUAAUGAAGAGUUAAGUUUGUUGAAUUUGAGGACACUGCAAAAACCAUUUGUUCUUGAACAUUAAAAUUGUUAGUGCAAAAUUAAAAGCACAAACAAAAAAUAUUGGUAAAAAUUCAUGUCUGCUUAUUUUCCUUCCUUUGAUGAAUUUUUAAUUUUUUAAAUUAAAAUAUUGAAUUGAGGGAAGACUGCAUCUCAGACAAACUAACUCCUAAAUUUCAUACAAAGGAAUAAUUCUCUAAAUGUUACAUAUCUAGCUAUAUUAUCUUCAUGUAAAUUUCUUUUCAUUGAUUUUUUUGGGGGAGGUACAGGGGAUUGAAUUCAGGGGCACUCCACCACUGAGCCACAUCCCCAGCCCUAUUUUGUAUUUUAUUUAGAUACAGGAUCUCACUGAGUUACUUAGUGCCUCUCUGCUGCUGAGGCUGGAUUUGAACUCUGAAUCCUCUUGUCUCAGCUUCCCAAGCCGCUGGGAUUAUAGGUGUGUCGUGCCCAGCUUCAUUUGAUAUUUAAUAACUUUUUCUCUUUGAAAAAAACUGUCUAGUAUAAAAAUGAAUGCAUAUUUUAAAUUGAAGAAAGGGAAAAAUCUAUGUUAAAAUCUUGGAGAUUGCAUAUUAUUUAGAAGUCUCUGUUUUUUCCUCUCUACAUGACUGAAUACCUUAAAUUCAUAGAGAUCAAAUUAGUCAUGAAUAUGUCAGGUCUCUAGGGUUUCACUUUUUCCUUCUUAGGUCAUAUUCUUUAUGUCUAUAUUUUCUCUGAGAUAUGAGCUAGGGUAGAUUUGUUGAUAUUCUAUGAGUUGUGAUUGAGAUAUUAUUCAGAAAUUACUAGGAAUUGUACAUUUUUGUAGAGAAAGUGGAGGAAGCUAUAUAUUCAAAAGGUUGUUUGCUUAACUUUUAUAGAAAUGAAAGUAGAAAAGGGAAACAGGGUAAAAUAUUGAAAAGAAAGAUGAAAGAGGUCAGAAGAAAAUAGAGAAUUACCUGCCUAUCUAUAGUUGGUUAUAUAUUGGCUUCUGUUUCAAUUUAUUUAUUUUUCCUUGUUCUUUUCUCAUUGAAUUUUAAACUUCCAGAAAAUGGGGGUCAUUACUUCUGCUUGUCUUUGAAAUUCCCAGAUUCUAAUAGUGUCAACUCAAUUAUCCAUUGAGAGAUUAUCUGCUUUGUGUUUUAGCCUUUGCAAAUAUAGCUUUCAAGUUCUUAUUGACAUAUGUAAACAAAGAAGGUGAUAAAAACUUCUUAAGUCAUUUCACUAUUUCAUGCUUACUUUUAUACUCCUGUAUAACUCUGGAGAUCAAACUACACACAGUGAACCUUUUAGCUGAUUCAGAAUGAAUCUGUUAUUUCAUGUACUUUUUAUUAAGAAAAAAAAAAAAGCAAUCACAAAAUGCAUUUUUCCAGUGCAUUUAAUUGUCUUUAAAUUGACUUUCAGUCCCCACCUCUCCCUCAUGGAGUAAAAAAUUAACUCACUGUACUGUUUCUUCUGUAGAGUUCUAGUGUCAUGGAUUACUGAUACUAUGCUGACUCCCUAAGAUUUGGAAAAAUCUCCAGUCACUGAAGACAGCUUUCAUUGGGAUAUGCUGUCUACACAUUCAAACUAAAGAAGAAAGGGUACAUUUUGAAAGAAAUUUUAGAAAGUUUGGAGCAUUUAUUUAUUUAUUUUUUAUUUAUGGUUUUCUUUUAUGAAUAUAAAAAUCCAGCCAGCAAGCUUUAACUAUAAUUCUCUUCCCCUGCACAAGGGAGUGAUAAAGUACAAAUGCAGCAAGUUAAAAAACAAAAUAAAAAUGCUUGGUUUAUGUUUAAGCCUGAUUUUAAAAAAUCUGAGAGAUGAAGUUUCUAACAUGAAGGCAAUGAUCAUUAAAGAGUUAAGAAGGAAAAUUAAAUAACUUUUCAAAUAAUUAAUUAAAAUGUUGCAAGAUUAUGUUGUGUAAAGCAUUAUGUAUUUCAGAAAAUUAAACAUUAUUCUCUUCAAAUAUAAGUACAAGUAUAUGUAUCUACUUUGUUGUACUAUGUGUAUAACUCUCAUAGCGUAUAUGAACCUUCAUUUGAUCAAUUUCUAUUUCCUGUCUGUAGAGAGAACUUCUUAAAGGCAAGUGCUAUAUCUUUGAGCUCUGGAUCCUCCUGUCUCAGCCUCCCAAGCUGCUGGGAUUAUAGAUGUGCACCAUCAUGCCCAGCUUCAUUACCUUUAAGAUUUAGCCUAGUUUCCAGAACAAAUGUCCUAAAAUAUAUUGACUGCAUCAUUUAUUAUAUAAGCUAUCAAUAAUAACUGGGUUUAAAAAAAUUUAUUUAUUUUGUUUAGGUUUUUUAUUUGUUUUUAGUGAGGAUUACAGUUUAAGAAAUGAACAGAUAGGUAUGAGGUGCUUUAACUUGUAUGUGUAUUUGAUUUAGUUUUUGAUUAAUAUUUAUUGGCUUUCCUUUCUGAAUAAAAAACAUGAGGCUUACCUAUAUAUUUCUGUAUCUUUGCUGUUUUUGUUGCCCAAAAGCUAAAUGUGUUAAGUAAAUUGUAAAUGUUAGAUAAGGUGUUCUAUUUGUUUAAUAUUUUGUACUUUUAAAGAACUUUUUCAUAAAUUCUUGAGUCCUAGCCUCACAUCAAGGAAGGAUAAAGAAGUUGAGAAGGAAAUUUGUGCCCACAGUUACAAAUUUAUAAUCUCAAAUCUAGAACUUUUGAAUUUCUAGUUAAUUGCUAUUUUGUGUUUACUUUAUAGCCACUUUUAAAAGUCAUUUCUUAUUGCUUUAUUAUAUUAGUUUGGUAAGGGUUGCUAUUACUAAGUACCGCAAAAUGGUUAGCUUAAACAAUAGAAAUUUAUUUUCCCACAGCUCUGGAGACUAAACGUCUGAAAUCAAAGUGUUAGCAGGAUUGGUUCCUUCUGAGGGCUCUGGGGAGGAUUUGUUUCAACCCUCUUUGCCUUGUAGAUGACUGAUUUCUUAUGUAUCUUCAUCUCAUUUUCCUUCUAUCAGUGUCCUUGUGUCCAAAUUUCUCCUUUUAAAGGACACCAGUCAUAUUGGAUUAGGAACUCACCUAAACCAGUCUGACCUCAUCUUGAAGAAUUUUUCAAUGUUCUUAUUUCCAAAUAAGGUCACAUUCUGAAGUACUAGGAGCUAGGUCUCUCACAGGUUUUUUUGGGCUGGACACAAUUUAACCUAUACCAUUCAUCUUCUAGUAAAUGAACACUUACUGGAGAUGUGCAUUUUUCUUUCCAAGAACUUAACAGAAAAUGCUCACUUCAUCCUUACUUAUCUGUUGCUUCUCAAAGGAAAUUAAUUUAAUACCAGAAGAAAGAAUUCUACUUAUUUAUGACAGAACCAUUCCUGUUCUAUACCUUGGGGUCAUAUAGUUACCUAAUGAUUAGUUUGUGGAGAUAAUCCAUAUUUAUAAUUUUAUUUCCCUGAAAUUUUCUUAAGUUGGAAUACACAAAAUUAAUUGAGAGAUAAACUCUAUUCUUUGGGUUAAUCUCUGAGAGUUAAUCAGUGUGACCUUUUGCUCCAGCUGUACUAUUGUAUCUUUAGUGGCUGGCUUCCUUGGAGGACUUCAACAGAAGAUGGAAGAGUCUCUGAAGGAAAGUUGAGGUUAAUCAUACUAUCAAGUAGCUUACUCUUUUGUUUAAAAUUUAUUCUAGAUGAAAUGGUGAGAAGUCUUGAAGAGAAAGAUUCAGAAAGAGAAGAAGGAACUCACUACUAUUAUUCAGAUCAAAUGCUGAUAAACUAGUGUUACUAACAGGCCUAUUUAAUUUAAUUGAAUUUCUUCCUUUUUAUCAUGCUUUGAAAGGAAGAAGUAACUUGCACAAAGUGAAGGCUGUUCUGGGUCAGUAGACAUUUAACCAGAUCAACUCCAUAAUUUAUGUAUUGUCAGAUUAGGACAAUAAUUAAUUUUGAAGAAAAUGAUAAUUUUACAGCAAUACAAAUUUUUUUUUAAAGAGAGAGAGAGAGAGAGAGAGAGAGAGAGAGAGAGAGAGAAUUUUUUAGUAUUUAUUUUUUAGUUCUCGGCGGAUACAACAUCUUUGUUGGUAUGUGGUGCUGAGGAUCGAACCGGGGCUGCACACAUGCCAGGCGAGCGCGCUACCGCUUGAGCCACAUCCCCAGCCCCACAAAAUUUUUGGUUAUACUUACAGGCUGGCUUUUUUUUUGGUGCUAGGGAUCAAACCCAGGGCCUUGUGCAUGCAAAGUAAGCACUCUACCAACUGAGCUAUAUCCCUAGCCCAAGUCUGGCUUUUUGUACUUAUUAAAACUCAAAGUGAACAAAUUUAUUUUGUUAUAAUGUCUUUCUUUUAGCAUGGCUAAAUUAAAACUAUUUAAAUUUAAACACUUGGAUUUCUGUCCUGAUACAAUACCAAAAAAAAAUGGAAUAAUCUUGGGCAAAUUAUUUCAUUCACCUCUAUAGGCUUCCUUUUUUAAAUUUGCAAAAUGGAGGGGGGUUAUUCAAAUUUAGCUGUGAAACCUCAUCAUUCUGGGAAACAUCAUAUAUGCUCAUUCAUUUCUAGGUAUAGUCCUGGAUUCAAAGAAAGGAUAGAAGUAUACCCUGCCUUCAAAAAGUUUAUGGUAUAAAUAUAUGGAAAGCUGUAAUAUGUGAAUAGUUAACCAGUAGGAUAAAUUAAUAAUAUAAGAUAUAAUUUAUUCUAUGAGUUAUACAGACUAUAAAUUUUAUGAAUUCUGAGAUGGAUGAGAUACAUAUUUGUAGAGUAGCAUCAUCAGAGAGUAAAUACAGAAUUAGGAAUUAGACUAACUUGAAGAAGCUGUGCUAACGAUACAUUGAUGAAGGAAAAGGCCAGGGGAAUAUCUGGAUCUUAUAGUAAUAUUUGCUUAUAACAAGUAAGAUUUUUUUUCUAAAUUAUAGCACAUAUCCAUCAUAGGUAUGUUUGCUUCUCAACUGUUUAAAUUUUACAUGAUACUAGUGUUCAUAGUCAAAUAAUUUUAGAAAAAUUUUUCCCAAUAUAUAUCCCAAUAUUCAACUGGGAUAUAUAAUUAAUGAUGGUAUGAUUAUAGUUUGUGAAGAGUAUGGCAGGUUCUCACUAUCUCUAGUUCAUUCACUAUUGUAAAAACUCUAAUCUUGUAUAUGCUUUCCAAGUUACCUAUGAAAUACCAUCACUAGCAAUAUGAAAGUCAGGAAUAAGAAGAGGGACCUGAAAGAAGGACUUGAUUUGUAAAAAUGUUAAAGUACAAAGCAAAAGUUUUAAUUAGUUUUGCAUAAUUAUUACUUAUUAACAUCUAUAUGGGAUAUGUUUAUGGUUUUUAAAUCCCAAAGUGUAUAUUGAUUUUAAGCAUUUUAAAAUAUUUUUGAUUUAAAAGGAUAAGUUAAUUAUUUUUAAUUUCAGUUUCUGGAAAAUAAAAUAAAUGUAACUUAAAAUAUAUUAGUGGCAUUUAAUAUUAAAGCAGUUUUGUGAAGUAUGUGCUUCUUUGAUUUAUUUAUGAUUUCUUAAGAUGGAUCAGCUAUGUCUUUGUUAAUUAAUUUUUAAGAAUUUUAUGUAUUAAAUGGUUUUUAAAACCCGGAUAUUUAUAUGCAGAUUAAUAAGAGAAUGAUAGACAAAUGUGUUAAGCAUAUUUCCACAGCACCAGGUAAAAUACAGUUCACAUAUGUAGGUACUCUUUCCCUCUUUCUCUCUCUAUAUAUCUACUGUCCAAUGGAUAGCUGGUGGAAUGGGUGGGUGAAUGAAUUAGUAAGUAAUUAAUAUUUUCACAUUUGUGCAUGAGUAUAUACACACCCACAUAUAUACAACAUAAAUAUAUAUUUAGUCUGUUUUGUAGAGUUUGUUAAGUGUUUUCCAGGGUAUGUCAUUAAAAUAAAAUGUUCCACACAGAAAGGUUUCUAUUGACAAAUAGACUUGAAAAACGUAGCAUAUUAUGUUGAUGUCAAGACAAUCUUAAUAUAUAUUAGCACAUUAAUAAUUCUGAGCAGUCUAGCAGUAAAGAAACUCAAACUUAGUUUAGCAUUUCCAAAACUAACACAAACAGGGAAUGCUUUUUAAAAUUUCUACAUGUGUGUGUUUGCAUGUGCAAGCAUGUGUGCCUACUUGUAUUUGUGUAUGUACACGCAAUAUGUGGGAAACAGUGGGUUUUUAUGUAGUGGAAGUGGUAGAAUUGAACAGAUGUUGGUGGUAUGGCAGGGAAAUGGGAGCUAGUGAUGGUAUUUCAUAAAAAUCAUAGGUAACUUGGAAAGCAUAUGCAAAAUUAGAGUUUUUACAAUAGUGAAUGAACUAGAGAUAGUGAGAACAUGCUAUACUCUUCACAAACUAUAAUCAUACCAUCAUUAAUUAUAUAUCCCAGUUGAAUAAUUUAAAACAGAGCGAAAGAGCACAAGAUAAUGGAGAAUCCCCAACUGUACACCUCAUUGUUUGGUCAAUGCAAUUACCAGUGGUGCUCUGGACAGCAAUGAUUGUGUGACCAUUCCUCCUGGUUCAACCUGAUUUUUUUGCCUUGUUUGAGUAUUCACUCACAGUUUCUGCCACAUGUUCUCAGUUCCUAGUUUUCUAUUCUUAUUCAAGGAACUAAAGCAGCUGGAAAGCUCCUUAGUUACUUUAAUAUUUAUUCAUCUUAGGUAUCAACUAUUUUCAGUUCUUCCUCAAUGUAUUUAUUAUAGAAGAAUACAUAAUGAGGAAACUAGAAUUUGUUAAAGGGUACAAGAACAAAUUAGGUAUCAAAUUCUGGAAUUGUGAAUUAAAAAAAAUUCCCCACAAUUUAAACUGAAAAGUCAGGUAGAAUGAGACGACUUUAGUAGGCUCUUGUUUGGCUUUUCUCUCUUUAGAGAAAACAUUAAUGAACAUAAAUUCAGUGUUAUCUGUAAGUAGAAAAAUAAACACAAAGACUUAAACUCAGUAUUAACAAUUAAGUGAAAGAAGAAUUGAAUUUAAAAAUAGUUGUUUGGACUCCCUCCCUGCUACUGGAAAUAUAUUCUGUGUUUCCUUCUGGGCCUCCUAUGAUAACUUUUCUGAGUUGCUGGUGCUACAUAUUUGUUCUACAUGACUGUCUUAUGUUUUGUUCAUAGUUUAAUAUCCUCAAAAUAACCUGUAUAUUCUAACAGCUCACUUUUAAAUCUAUUUUUUAAAUUUCUAUUAAGUUAUUUAAUUAAUUGGAAAAAGCUAUGUAAACACUAAAGGUUUUUAUAAUUUAAUAGGCAAACUGCUUUGCCAUUUAAUCUUUAAUUAAAUAUUGAACCACUUUAACAAAGUGACCCACACAUAAAGAAUACUGAAUAAGAUAUGUGCAAAAAGGAAUAAAGAAAAAAAGAAGACAAAAAUAUUCUUCAUUAAAAUGACCAGCUUGCCUUUUGUAGAAAAUAGUGGGAUGUGUAUGCAAUGUCUGCUCUUAGUUUGGAUGUGUUAAGGUUCAGCUACUGCGUGGAAAAUCAAAGUUCUUCAACUGUUCAGUAAUUCAGUGUAAGACUUUAAUGGCACUUGGAGUAGGUUACAGAUCUUAGCUGGCUAAAGGCUAUGAAGAUAUUAUGGAGCUGUUCAAGGGGACACAGUAGAAAGUGGCAAAAAUAAAUUCUGAUUUUACCCCCAUAUAAUAAAAUGAUGGAUGAUGUGACCCAGUUUGAAUUGACAUUUGGAUUGUCUGAUGUAGGGAUUCUUUCUUUUAGGAUUGAGAAUUAGCAGAGAGUUCUUACUCAAAUGUCAGAUGAAAAUGUAAAAUGACAAGCUAGUUUCAAAAAAACAGUGUUUGUAUAUUUGUUCAGAAUUUGUUGGCAUUGUGUUUCAUAAACUUUGUAUCUUCAAUUGCCAAUUUUUUUAACUUUUUUUUUUUUAGUUGUAGUUGGACACAAUACCUUUAUUUUAUUUAUGUGGUGCUGAGGAUCGAACCUAGCGGCUCACACAUGCUAGGGGAGCACUCUACCCCUGAGAGCCCUAACCCCAGCCCAUCAAUUGCCUAUUUUCCAUUGUUGCUUCUUUUGCUUUUCAUGAGAGUCCUUAUAUAACUAGGCUUGAGUAAUAGGAAGACUAUGACUUGGGUUCUCGUCUAAAUAAUGUAAAACCUUUUUAUUGUUCAAAAUUAAUGGUAUUGAUUUUUUUCAGUAUGCAUUAUUAGUCCCAUAUAAAUUUGUUUCUAAUCAUCUAAAUUAAUGAUACAGUUAAAUUUAAAUUUUCUGUGAAAAUAUUAAUGCAGUAUUUUAUACACUUUUCAUUAAUUACUGUGUAAGCUCUUGUUCUAGAAUAAAAGGGUUCUUAGGUUAGAUAGGUUUAUGGAAUGGUGCACACUACAGCUGUUUUUAGAGAUUUGGAAUGUACAUUAUAAUGUCAAAGACUCAGGCAGUUGCUGAAAUAAAUGUUUAGUCCAGGAGUUUCUUUGUGGGCCAAAGAUUAAAUGAUAAGGAUGUCUAUUAUUUCAGUGGUUUUGUAUAUUGGUGGGCUUGUUUUGAUAUUACUAAGAUAAAAGGCCUUAUGAAAUUAGCCGAGACAAAAAGUUCUACUUUGAGACAUGAAAGUACAAAGACUUAGAAUUAGAUAGGCCUCUUGCAGUGUUAAAUAUUUAUGUAGAAUCCUCUUUAUUUAUUGCCCUGGGAAAUAUUUUUCCUAAUUUAUGCCCCUGGCUUUGUCUGUCUUCAUGUACUGGGUUGUGUAUAAAGAGUUUGGGAAACAAGAAGCCCAGGAACUCUAGAACCUUGAAUUUAGAUACCCAGGAGCUGUAAUAAUGGGCGUUCAUCUAGGGCUGAUUAUCCUUAUGCAUGGGAUAUGUUGUCUGUGUCCUUUAGAGCUACAACUGAAGGUACUGUUGGAUUGGAAUUAAUAAGGCCAAAUGUAUUGACCAUCAUACUACUGUUCUUCUGUUUUACUUUAGAAAUUGUGAAGACUUGCAUAAUUUGGGGGAUUACAAUUUGAACUGCUUCAAUCCUGCUCGAAGGAAAAGAACUAUGUUUUCAUAAUGUGGUCAAAUUUAUUUAUCAGUAUAUCCAAAGUAUUAAUUGCAGUAAUGAUCAUAAUGUGUCAGGCAUUGUGCUAUAUACUUUACAUAGAUGAUCUGUAAUCCUUAUAACUCCAAAGGGUCGUUACUAGAUAGUUCAAUUCUACAGGCAAGAAAUAGUAUGUGUAUGUAUGUAUAUUUUUUAUACACAAACUUACACACACAUCUUAUUACAUAUACAUAUAUACACACAUACUAUAAUUCUUUCCAUAGAAUCAUCUUUAAUUAAUUUUUAUAAUAAAAACCUUUAGUUAGUGUAAAUCUAAAGUCUUUGGCUAGAAUUAUAAUAGAUUGGAGAGUUAUAAAAGGGGAAAAAGGCACUGAUUUCUCUUCUUUUUAAACUCACUCUUAUUUUUACUUAUUUAUAUAGUCUCUUUUUAUUUAACCAUGGGAUUACUCAUUGAAUUAAUAAUCAUUUGGCUUUGUUUUGUAUGUAAUUACCUAUAGCUAACCCAUUCUAACAGAAGGAUGCUUGAGGAGACCAAAGAGUUAAUCUGCUUCAUAGCCACUUUCCCCAGCUGCUUUCAUUCCCAUUAGUGAAUUAGGGACAGACAGGGCUAUGGCAGUUGUCACAGAGGUCAAAAUCACUGAGGGAGAGUAAAGGCUGUGAUGGGAUAAACAUUUUAACUCCCUGUCCUGCUGCCAUCUUGGGCACAAGUAUUAGCAUUAAGAGAGCUUCCUGAGAUCUCUUAGCAAUUUUUUAGAGGAUUUUUAAAUUUUAUUUUUUUUGUGAUGAGGAAUUAAUUAGACAAUAACUAUCCAAAGUAACUUGAUUAAUAAAAAAAGUAGUGUCUAGUAACAAAGACAAACAUUCCAUCUUCCAUUAUAUAAUUAUUUAUUUGGAUUGUUAGCAGUAUUUUUACUGUUUUGAUCUCAAAUAUUUCUCAGUAUCAAAACUUUAUAUUGUGUUAUGAAUAAGGACUUUGUAACUGAGAUCAGGUGUUUUGUUAGUUUAAUUAAUUAAACUAAUGGAUACUAGUGUCAAUCAAAGUGCCUAAAAAGAAUGUGCCAGUGCUUCUUUUGCUUCAUUAUUCCUUAAAUUUAUUCCUAGCAGACUAAAAUUAUAAAAGUCUGUUGGAUUCUACUUUCAACCAUUGACUAUUUCAUUUUAUACAAGAUGUACUAGGCAGUUGGGCAAAUGCAUUCAUAGUUUAAUGAAUACCUCCUGUCUUCUCAUUCUGUCACCCCUCAACCACUCCUGAUUGUUGAAAAUGAGUUGUAGGAUAAAUUUUGGUGUUCAGUCUCUGACAUUUUUGUUUUUAGCUGAAUGGUGCCAUUUUUUUUGAAACUGGUAUUAAUUAAGAAAUGUGGAAAUUGCUGGAUAAUUCAGAUAAGAACUACUUAUUAAAUAUUGGUAGUGUACAUUGCAUUGCAGAACACAUUGCCAUGUAUUUUAUUGUUUGUAUAUCAAAUGGAAAAAUGAACAUUAACAUGCCACAAAACUUUAAAAUUAUUUUUACUGUAGUGUACUUUUAUGGUUGGUAUUUUAUAUUAAAAAGUGCUUUCUAUGUACUUUAUUUGUUGUUCAUUCGUGUUCUGUUAGUCUGAUUAUUUUAAAUGUUCACAUUUCCCAGUAUCAUUUUAACACUUGAAGAGAUAAUGUCUUAAAAAAUACUGAAUAUUAAAAUUGGUUGACAUAAAACACAGUGGAAAGAACAUAUUUUUAUGAUAUGAGAUUUUAGAUAAACAAUUUCACAUUAAGGGAAAAUCAUUAGAGUUAUACUUUUAUAAUGUUAAAAUUUAUUCAGUUGAUAUUUUUCUUCUAUUAAUGCAUAAUUUGGAUUUAGGGGAUUAAUAUAACAAUGUUAUAUUUACUCAGCGUUUUACCUUGCCUAUUUUGAGAAUCUUUUUCCAUCUUUAAGAAUUUUUAGUGAUCUCUAGAAAUUACAUAGCAGAAUUAAAACUUGGAACCUGCUUCACUUUGUACUUCAAAAUCUCCUAAGUGGUUCUAGAAACAAGAUUAAAAAUAUUUGAGCCACGUGGCUCUAAUACACUGCCUGUAAUCCCAGUGGUUCACGAGGCUGACUCCGGAGGACCUCGAAUUCAAAGCCAACCUUAGCAAUUUAGCAAGACCUAGUCUCUAAAUAAAAUACAAAAAAAUGGCUGGGGAUGUGGCUGAGUGUUAAGUGCCCCUGGGUUCAAUCCCUGGUUACCUCCCUGCCUCGCUCCCCAAAAUUUUGGAGUCAUAGUAGUUAACUAUUAUCUUGUUUUUUUUAAAAAAACUUUUUUUUUAAUGUAUGAUUUCUAGGAACAAUGGUUUUCAUUGAUGUUAAUCUGGUUAAAUAUAGAAUAUUAGGUAAGAGAUACUAACAAAGCAUUCCAUAUAAAUGAACACUAGGUUAUAAAUUCUAAUAGAAGCCGUUAUACUGUUCUAAUAAAAACCACUUAAAAUAUGUCUAUUUCAGUGAGUAAAAUAAGUGGAACUAAAAACAACCAAUCCUGACAUUCAGUCUAAAAGGCCUUUCUAUUAUAGCAAGUCUUCUUUCACAUGCUCCUGUUAUAUGCAGAAAAAUGUUCUCAGCCCUCCAUUUUAUUUUUCUUCUGUUUAAGUUGAAAGCAUUCAUCAUUUUAAGUUAUUGUGUGAUGUUAUCAGUGAAGGAUGACUUAAUAGCUCAAAUUUCAGCUGGACAGACCUAAAUUUGAUAGUGUGUUUUGGGUAAAUCAGAUUUUUGUCAUGGAUAAAUUAAGAUUACUUUGAAAGAAACUUCCACUUACCUCAUGUAACAUGAAGGAUAACAACAGCACUUUUCUUUCCAAUCUCUGAAAUGCCGUAUAUUUUCCCCUAACUAAUCAUGGCACAAAUCCAUCAUGGCUCUGCUCUCUUGGAGAUGUUGAGCUUCUCCCUAUCCCCUUUACCCACUUUCUUUUGCCAGAUAGUUGUCUAGUGCUUACAAUAUGUCAAAUGCUGGGUGAGAGAUCCAGUGCAACAUAAGACAUGCAAGGUUCCUGCUGUUCAGCAGUUAACAGUUUUAUUUUCUCAGAUUUUAUACUUCUUAGUAUAGGAAAAGAUGUAUUUUAAUAACUUUAUCUGCUGCCCUUCUUCCCUGGUUUAACAGGUAUUCAAAAGGUGGUAUGUAAGUUGGUUUGUUUGGUACAAAGAAUAUAUCCCCAACAAAGAAAAUAAUUAUGAAUUGUAAUUAUAAUCCCAGAUGAUACUUGGAAUUUAGUUAAACUCCAAAACUUGUAAUAUUAUGGUUUCCCAUUGUCUUUGGGGAUGUGAAUUCCAGUUAUAAAUCUAAAAUUUAGGGAACCUACCUAGCUAAAGCAAUUCCAGUAACGAGAAGGUAGAUUCAUUUUUUUUUUUUUUUUUUUACCUUGACUUCCUUACUCCCUGAGCAGCAGGGACUUGUUUUUUUCCAUUUCUUCUCCAACUCAUUGUUAAUGAGAGAUUUCUUCCUUUACAUACUGUAGUAGUGGCAGUGGCAAGAGGGGAAUGAGUGUUCUCAGCAGCUGUGAUAGAAAGGAGAGAUGGGCUUCAGAGAGUUGGGGAAAUGGGUAGUUUACUUGGAGACAGGUAUGUGAAGGAUUGUUCUGGGAUAGCCUUUAGCACCUAGAAAGGAAAGGAUCAGAACUCAGGGGAGAUGGAAUAGUAUUGGUAUGGAUUCUAGUUGGCACUAAAGGAGUAAGGCAGAAUAGGUUGGAUAUGGUAGCUCAGGGAAUUAGAGAGGAAUGUUUAACAAUAGUGGCAGUAAGGGAACUGAAAUUUUUGUAGUCAUUCUGGCCUAGGACUUGAUUUUCUCAGAUGCUGCAGAUUUGUAGUGUAAGUCAGAUUCUGCCUGUGCCCUGCUGCUUUUUAUUGGUACUUUCUUUUAAUCAGUAGCAUUAUUAGAACGUAUUUAAAUAUCCAUAGAGCACAUGGAUCAGUUUUUAAAAUGUUACUUUCAUACCUUCAUCAAGUUUUCCUGGAAAUUAUACAAUCUUUAAAUUUUUAAAGAUAAAAAUUAUAUUAUUUAGUAUAGAUAAAAAUUAUAUUAUAUAGCAUAAAUUUAAAAGUGUAAAAUAAAAUCCAUGAAGAGAAAGCAUUAUUAAAUAAAAACAUGCUAAUUGAACCUCAUUUAGUAAAAGCAAAGGGAGAAGUUUUUAGCAAUAAUAAUCUAAAAGGAAACAUAAUUUACUUAUGGAUUACAAACAAAUAUAAAAACAUUAGCAGUAUCUGAAUUUUCAAAGUUUAUUUCCAAUAUAAAAGUAAAUAUUUAAAAGUAAUCAUUUAAACACUAAACCAGAAUAAUUGUUUUGAAUCACUUUUUGGUGUGCUUUAUCCUUCCAAAUUAUUGGUUUCCUAAUCCAGUAUAUAUAUAUAGUGACAAUGCAACCUCAGAAUAGGAACUUUUAAAGUACAAAACUUAACACUGUUUUUCAAUUUUAACAAGUCAAUUUUAGAUAUUUAAGUAUAUUCUCUCUUAAAGUUUGUUCAUAUUUAUAAAGUGUAAAGCCAAACAAAUGUGAAGUUGCCUUUAAUUUAGUAAAUGUUAUAUUUUAUUUAGUAAGUUUACAAUAUGAACUUGAUUUACAUUUAAAUAUCCAACAGAUCUUAAUUUGUGUUGACUGUACCUCAAAUUAAUUUUCAUUUCAUCUGCAAGGCAUAUAUAUUUUAUUCUGAGAUGAUCAUUUUGGUAACAUUUAAUGGGAAUGUGGCUGAUAAAUGGGGCUUUUUAUUUUAAUAGUAUGACUAGUUGCAUGAAAUAGUGAGGCUUUCUGGAUUCAAUUAAAAAUUAACUUAAAUGCAUUAGUUAAUUCUGUCUUUUGUUGACUCUUGGCUUUGUUUCUCUGUAAACUUUUGGGAAAAUUUUUGAGAAAAAUGUCAAGACUUCUCUCACACGCUUUGAAGAAUUUCAUUUGCAAAGGAAUCCAAAGAAGACUCCUGUUAAUGCAGUUUUGGGUUAUUCAUUGCGCAUUAUUUCUAAGGCAAAUAAUAUUAUUCAUCUUUCUUUCUUUUUUUCUUUCUUCCUUCCGCCCUCCCUCCCCCCCUCCUUCCUCCCUUCCUUCCUUCCUUCCUUCCUUCCUUCCUUCCACCCACCCACUAGGGAUUUAACCCAGGAGUACUUUAUCAUUGACCUACAUCUCUCCGCCCCCCUCGUCCCCCCCACUUUUUUCUUGAGACGGGGUCUUACUAAGUUACUUAGGGCCUCCCUAAGUUGCUGAGGCUAGUGUGAACUUGUGAUACUGUUUUAGCCUCCUGAGGUACUGGAAUUACAGGAGUGUGCCACCAUACCUGGCUCAUAAUGCAUUAUUUUUAAAACAAUGGAGUAGUUUCUAGAUUAAGUUUAGGCAGGUUAAUUGUGAUUUGGAUAGUAUGUACCAUGUGGAACACAUAAUGAGUAAGAGUGCCCUUGGCUCAUCAUAUUGCCGGAGGAUUCUUCUUUUCUUUGCUUUUUUUAAAAAAAUAUUUAUUUAUUUAGCAUUAUAAUUCUUAAUACACCAUUAUACAAUAAUUUAUCAUGUCUCUUAUUAUAUAUAAGGUAUGUUGACACCAAAUUCACAUCUUCAUACAUGUAUUUUGUAUAAUGAUGAGGGUCUCCUUUCACCAUCCGUGCUAUUCCCCUUCUCCCUCCCUUUUCCUCCCACCCCUAUUCCCUAUCUAGAGGUAAUCUUCCCAGGAGGAUUCUUUAUUGUUUAGGUAUGUGGAACCCUAUCUGUUGGUGUUUAGGAAUUGGCUCUGUCCUCAGUAAGGUUGGAACCUCUCUUCAUGAUGCAGUGGAAACAUAUGUGCUCCGUACCUUAGGAACAAAAGAAGUGAAUAUAGCCCAGCUGCAGGCUCUGCAUUUGUCAGCAGAUAAGCCUACCCUUUUCUAGUUCUGUAGAUAGGCAACUUUAAAUGCAAAACAAAAAACACAAAACUUUAACUUAUUUUGUAGGAGCAGUUUUAGACUCACAGCAAAACUGAGUUGAAAGAACAGAGUUUGCAUAUAUCCUCUGUCUCCCAUCCCCACUUAUAACUUUCCCCAUUCUGGACCACAGUGGCAGAUUUGUUAAACUGCUGAACCUCUAUUGAGACAUUAUCACCUAAACUCCAUUGUUUACUUUAGGUUUCACUCUUGUGCAUGCUAUCAGUUUUGACAAAUAUAUAAUGACUUGUAUUAAUCAUCUAGUAUCAUACAGAAUAGUUUACCACAAAAAUUCUCUUCUUAGUGCUCUGCAUAGUCGUUCCUUCCUUCUUCCUUCUUCUUACUCCUGGCAACCACUGAUCUUUUUAACCAUAUUCAUAGUCUUGAUUUUUCAAGAAUGUAAUAUAUGUUGGAAUCAUAUAGUGUAUAGUCUUUUCAGAUUGAUUUCUUUUACUUAGUAAUAUGCAUUCAGAUUUCCUUCACAUCUUUUCAUGACUGGAUAGAUCAUUUCUUUUUAGAACUGAAUAAUAUUCCAUUGUCUGGAUAUAACAUUAUUUCUCCAUUUACCUGCUGAAGAAUAUCUUGGUUACUUCCAAGUGUUGGUAGUUGUGGAUAAAGUCUUCCAAGUGCUGGUAGUUGGAGAUAAAGUAUCCAUAUGCAGGUUUUUGUGUAGAAAUAAUUUUUCCAUUCAUUUGGGUAAAUACCAAGAGAAUGAUUACUGGAUGUUAAGGGUGUAUUUAGCUAUCCUUCUAAGUGAUCUUACCAUUUUGCAUUUUUAUUAGUAAUAAAUGAAAGUCUAUAUUCCACAACCUUGUCAAAAUUUGAUGCUGCCAGUGUUUUAGAAUUUGGCCAUUCUAAAGUUUGUAUAGUAAUAUCUCAAUGUUUUGAUUUGAAAUUUUCCUAAUAUAGAAUAUUUUUUCAUAUGCUUACUUCCCUCUGUCUUUUAUUGAUGAGGUAUCUGUUUAGGUCUUUUGCUCAUUUUUAAAUCAGGUUAUUCAUUUUCUUAUUGUUCAGUUUCUGGUUUUGGUGCUGGUGAUUAAACUCAGGGUUUCACAAAGGCUAAGCACACAUUCUACCACUGACUACAACCCUGACCUUUUCUUCUUCAGUUCUAAGAGUUCUCUGCAUAUUUUGUAUAACAGUCAUUUUUCAGAUGUGUCUUUUGCAGAUAUUUUCUCCUAGUUGUGGCUUAUCUUCUCAUUCAUUUAUCUGGUCUUUUUUGGCGGGGGGGGGGGGGGGGGGGGGGGGCAGGGACUGAACUCAGGGUCACUGGACCACUGAGCCACAACCCCAGCCCUAUUUUGUAUUUUAUUUAGAGACAGGAUCUCACUGAGUUGCUUAGUGCCUUUCUUUUGCUGAGGCUGGCUUUGAGCUUGAGAUCCUCAUGCCUCAGCCUCCUGAACUGCUGGGAUUACAGGCGUGUGCCACCACGUCUGGCUAUCUGUGUCUUUUGCUGAGCAGAAUUUAAAAAAAGAUUUAAUUGACACAUAAUGUUUCUACAUAUCUGUGGGAUAUAGUAUGAUAAUAUGAUAUGUGUAUAAUUUGAUUCAUGUAAUUAGCAUUUAUAUCUCCUCAAACAAUUAUCAUUUCUAUUUGUUAGAAAACUUAAAACUCUUUCAAUUAUUUUGAAAUAUAUCAUAAAUUGUUGUAGACUACAGUGUGUCUGCUACUGUACUGUGUGAUAGAACUGUAGAAGUAAUUCCCCAUAUCUCUGUAUUUUGGUACUCAUUAUUCAGUCUUUAUCUUCUCUCCUCAAUCUCUUUUCUAGCUUCUAGUGAUUACUAUGUUAUUUUACUUCUCUAAAUGAACAUUUUUUUUACCUUUCACAAAUGAGAAUCUGCACAGAACUUUUUAUUUUAAUGAAAUCCACCUAAUCAGUUCUUUUUUCACACACCAUGCCUUUUAUGUUGUAGCUAAAAUGUUGUUACAAUAGCAAAAGUUCAAUUAAGUUUUUUCCUAUGUUGUCUAAUAGAAGUUUUAUAUUUUAUAUUUAGGUAUGUUUGGGUUAAUUUUUGUGAAGAGUAAGGUCUAUAUGUCUAGAUAAAUUUUACACAUGAAUGUCCAGUUUUCAGUCAUUAUUUGUUGAAAGAAUGUCAUUGCUCUAUUGUGUUUCCUUUGCUCCCUUGCCAAAGAUGAGUUGACUAUAUUUACAUGGGUCUAUUUUCUGACUAUCUAUUCUGUUUCAUUUAUAAGCCAAUAGCAUACUGUCUUUAUUAGUGUAGAUUUUUAGUAUGUCUUGAAGUCAACUGGUGUUAGCCCUUGGUUGUUGUUCUCGUUCAAUAUUGAGUUCACUGUUCCGGGUUUUUGCCUCUCCAUGUUAAGUUUUAGAAUCAGGUUCUAAUUAGCUACAAGACAAUGUGUUGGGAUUUUGAUUGGGAUUACAUUAAAUAUUGGGUUGGAAAGAAAUGCCAUCUUGACAAUAUUUUGUCUUCUUAUUCAUGAACCUAUGUUAAUAUCUCUCCAUUUAUUAAUUCCUUUUUAAUGAUAUAUUCUAUCAGAGCUGUAUUAUUUUCCUUUUCUCUAAAGAACUUCUUUUAAAAUUUCUUGUAAAGCAAGUCAUCCCCCACUUUCUGUUGGUCCAAGAAAGUAUUUUUGCUUUACUCUUGAAGAAUAAUUUUGCAGAAUACAAAUUCUAGGUUUUUUUUUUCUUCCCCUCAAUACUUUAAAAUUUUACUUCACUCUUUUCUUGCAUGGUUUUUUAGAAGUCAGAUGUAACUCUUCUCUUUUCCUCCUUUACAAUAAAAGUGCUUUUUCCCUUUGGUUUCUUUCAAGAUAUUUUCUUUUAUCGGUUUUCCCCCAGAAGUUUGAAUAUCAUAUGUCUAUGUGUAAUAUUUUUGGACAUCUAUCCUAUUUGGUGUUUCUAGCUUCUUGGAUCUGUGACUUAGUUUUCUGAUAUGAAUUCAGUUAAUCUAUAAGUCGUCAUUGUUUCAAAUAUUAUUCUGAUGCCUUCUCUCCUGGUUUUCUCAUUAUGCCUAUAUUACAACUUUUGAAGUUGUCCCAUAGUUCUUAGAUAUUUUCCUCUAACUUGUCUUUUUGCUUUUCAGUUUUGGAUUUUUCUAUUGAAAUAUCCUCACCCUUAGAGAUUCUUUCCUCAUCUCUGUCCAAUCUACUACUAUAUGCAUCAAACACAUUCUUUAAUUCUUUUUGUAGGUGUUUUUUCGAUAGCAUUUUUCAAUUGAUUUUUAGAAUUUCCAUCUCUCUUAAAACUGCCUGGAACACUGCUCCCCACCAAUACCAGGAAAAUGGCUUCUCCUCCUUUGAGAGCGUAAUCCAAUGAUUCUUAACUGUUACACCUUUCCUAACCACCAUCCUCUCCUUGCAACACUCCUCAACACUCCUUUCUCUCUCUUCUAGAAAAAGUAUUCCCUUACUUUUUGUUGGUUUGAGAAAAUAUUUUUCCUUCAAUUUUGCAGAGUACAGAAUUCUAGGUUGUUGGUUGUUUUUUUCCCCCCAUCUGUCCUUGUGUAUUGUCUACUAAAAUUUUCCAUUAAAACCCAUAAUGUGUUGGGCUGGGAUUGUGGCUGAGCGGUAGAGUGCUCGCCUAGCACAGGCGGGACCCGGGUUCGAUUUUCAACACCACAUAAAUAUAAAGGCAUUGUGUUGUGUCCAUCUACAAAAAAGAUUCUUAUUCUCUCUCUCUUUCUCUCUCUCUCUCUUCUCUUAAAAAAAAAAAAAAAAACCCAUAAUGUGGGCUGGGAUUGUGGCUCAGUGGUAGAGAACUUGUCUAGCACCUGUGAGGCCCUGGGUUUGAUCCUCAGCACCACAUUAAGAAAACAAACAAAUAAAUAAAUAAAGGUUAAAUUCUUCAAAACCAAAAACCUUGAUGUGUUAAUCAUAAUUUGUUAAAAAUUCCCUGUCUGAUAACUCCAGUAUUCCUGCCAUAUCAGACACUGGAUCUAAUUCUUAUUAGCAUUUUCAAACUCUGUUUUUUGCCUUUUAAUAUACUUUGUAGUAUAUGGUUGAAGGUAGAUACAAUACACUGGGUGAAAAGAACUUCUAUAAGUAGGCUUUAGUAAUGGUAGAAGAAGCAUUCUGUAGUCCCAGGCUUUUCUUGAGCCUGUGCCUUCAUCAGUACUUCUCAUCCUGGCUUAGGUGGAAAAGGAUGGCUAGACGGGCUGUAGUUUGGUAGUUCCUUCCCUUCAGUUAGGUUCUAGAUUGGGCUCUGGCAAAAUAGUUUCUUCUGAGGGAAGAUCUUGUUAAUAACAGACUUAAAAUUUUAGAUAUGGGGACAAGUAGAGAGUGAUUUGAUGUUUUAAGUCUGAGGGAGUAGCAGAUUCAAAUGAACCUAAGUAGUAAAUUAAUACAAGAUUAAGGAGGACACAGUGACCAGUUUAGGUAGAGUUGCGUGGAAGUCAUUGUGUGGAAGAAUGGAGAGUAAGCCUGAUUUAGCACGUGUGCUAGGUAGGAUUUUUUAGGUUGCAUGUGACAGAAAACUUUAUAAAUAGUAAAAAGUUAAAAUUUACUUCUCUUUUUUUAACAUAUAUUUUUUAGUUGCAGGUGGACCCAACACCUUUGUUUUAUUUUUAUUUGGUACUGAGGAUUGAACCCAGUGCCUCACAUGUGCUAGGCAAGCACUCUACCAAUGAGCCACAACCCCAGCCCAAAUUUACUUCUCUUAAAUUAAAGAAGUAUGAAGGUUGAGAAUCCAGGGAUGAUAUGUCAGUCUCAUAAAGUUGUCAGGAAUCUCUACCCCUCCUCCCUUUUUAUUCUGGUUUUUGUAGAGUGGUCCUAUUUUUGUGGUUCAACGGGGAGGUUGGAACUUUAGAGUUAACACCUGCCUUAUGGAUCAGUAUAAGGAUGAAGGAAUUUAGAAGAGUGUACCCCUUGUUUUAAUCUUUCAAAUUCAAUCAGUAUUUCCAUAUUCAAAUUUCAUGCAAGUGAACACAUGUUGGCUUUGAGGGUGAUAGGAGAAUGUCAUCUUUUAGCUGGGGAACAAUAUGUGUAGUGAAAAAUUUGGAUUCUUACUAUUAUUCAGUGACCCGGAGACUGUAAGUAUCUGCUAGAGAUAGGAUUAAAUUUUGUUUUGUGUGUGUGUGUUCAUGUGUAUGUGCAUGCAGGUUACAGCUUGUGUGUUUGAAGAAGUAGGAUUGCUUAUUAAGGAUCUGUAUUUUGGUUAAUCUGCUGUUUUAGAACUUCCAUGGCAGUUAUCUUGGACAUUACUGUGGAUACUGGAAAAAAAAAAGAAAAACAACUAAAAGAGGAAUAUGUGAUAGUUCUUUAAUUCACCAGCCAUUCUGCUUUCAGACAUUUAGUUUUGCAGGUAUUUAUGCCAGUCAAUUAAGGAAAGCAGACUUUUGUAACAUAUUUUACAUAUAUUCUAUAAAUUAUAUUUUGAUGUGCUAAGAAAACACAUUGAAAUGGCAUGGUAAUCUGAUUAGUACCAUGAACCUAUUAUAAAACAUAUUUAUAUGACUUUGUAAUUGUCAAUAUUGGUAUAGUUUAUCCCCUUAAAUGUUUUGGAAUAAAAUACAUUUUUAAUUAUAGGGAAGAGCAGGUUAAAAGGAUUCAAUUAAUAUAGGACCUAGAAAUUAUCUGUUCUUUGAAAAGCUAACAUGCAGGGGAAUCUGGAAGGAGUGAAAAUAUUUAGAAAUUACAUAUUAUUUUAGAUAAGAGUUCUGUAGUGAUAUACUUCCUACUGUUUCUUAAUUGGAACUGCUACUCACUCUGAAUUUAUUGACUGAAACAACCAUCAUGGCAUCCGUUGAAUAUUCUUUGACUGUAGAGCCAGAUAUUUUCCAUGAUUAUAGAUAACAUGCUUGCAUCUUACCUUAUUUUAGUUUGGAAACCUUGGAGCAUUGGUAUACAGUGAACUAUGGGGAACUACUAGACUUACAAACUAUGGAGAAACAUAGUUUAUCUUAAUGUUUGAGGGGACAUGCAGAGUGAUGGGAGUGGUGGAUAGUUAUACUAGUAGUUAUCUUAGGUUUAACUUUGAUACAUGAGUUUGCCACUUCUUGGUCCUUCACUUGGUCACAAGUUGAAACUUAUAGGAUGAUAUAAUUUUUUUGAAUGAAGAUAAUGAAUCAUGAUGUUUGUAAUGUUUUUUAAGAUAUAGUAGACUAAGCUUCAAGAGUCAUCCAUCCUAAUCUCAAUUCCUUUACUAACUAGUUUGUUGAUUCUGGGAGGCAUUCAUUCCCUCUGGUCACAUUUUUGGUAAUAAGAGGAUUAUAUAAUCUUGUAUUUUGGAGGUUUUCUUUUUAAAGAAUACAUCAAACUUCUGUUUGAUGCAUAAAGUCUUUGCAAUAUCCCCAGCUUCAACCUGUACGUUUACUCUUUCAGUGACUGGACAGACAUGAUUCUCAACCCCCAAAUGAUUCAUUUACUAACCCAUAACAUUUUUGAAUAGCUCUAAUGGUUACAAAAAAGUUCUUUGAUAUACUGAGUUAAAAUGUGCCUUCUUAUCACUUUAACCUAUUGGUUUAGUUCCACCAUCUUUAUCCAUGUGAAGUAAGACAAAGUCCUCUACUUCCUGAAGGAGUAUUUGAGCCUUUUCUUUUUGUGAGAUAUGCAUUACUGACACUUUCAAUUGUUGCUCAUGAUUUGUCUUUUUUUCCCCUCCUAGUGUUUUUAGGACUAUUGCUUCUUCUUUUCUAGUUCUUAUAGCCUAUUUAUGCAUUUUAAGAUAAAUUAGCUCUUUCAGCAAUGUGGUCAAGUGAUCUGUAUAAUUCAUGUUCAACUUGCAGUCAUCUAAAACUUUUCUUUUCACAUGGUCUGUUGUUAUCUCCUAUUUGUCAUUCUGUGCAAGAUAUUCAAGGAUAGGAUUUUACAUUUAUUUUUGUUAAGUUAAUUUCACUGGAUUUUUCAGUGUUUCAUAAAGCCAUAUACCUUUGAGAUAUUUAUUCAGGAAUUCAAAUAUAUUAGUUAUCUACUUAGUUUUAUUUUUCACAUUUGAUAAUUUUGCUGUUCUGAAAUCAAGAAGUUAGUGUGAUUAUUUUCAUCUGGUCUUAGGGAAGUGAACCUCUUAGUUCAACUCUCCUUUCACUGAUUUAGGUACCCAUGAGUUCCAGUUGAAGUUAAUUCAAAAUUAAAUAUUUGGUGCUUAAUUUAGGAGAGGCUCAUAUUGUGUUUAAUCCCAUUUUCUCCCCUUGUCUGUUUUUUUCUUUUAUCUAUUGAUUAUUUUUGUUUCCUAUUUAUAGAUACAUUUAAAAAAUUUAUUUUAGGCACCAAAUCACUGAAGAGUCAGAGUAAUUUCAUUCAAAUUUGAAAAGAAUAGUUUUCACUUUUUGGUAUUUAAAAAAAAUGUAUGGGUUUUUGCUUUUGUUUUUGGCUAUUAAAUGAAUUUCCAUGUUCCAAAGCUCUUCAUAGUAUCUUAAGUUUUAAUUAGGAAAUGCCACUUAGAUGAACAUCUUUUCACUUACAAAUGUCCAUAAUAAGAUUUCUUCUUUUUUAAAAAUGUUGCCUCUUAUUUAUUUAUUUUUUGAUUUUGUUUUGGUACUGGGGAUUGAAUCCAGAGGUCCUUUACCACUGAGCCACAUCCGCAGCCCUUUUUAUUUUUUGAGACAGGAUCUCACUAAGUUUCUUAGGGCCUUUCUAAGUUUCUGAGGCUGCCCUCAAACUUGCUAUCCUCCUGCCUUAUAGGAAUUAUAGAUGUGUGCCACUGUGCCUGGCAAGGCUUCUUUUAAUAUAAGUUGAAAAAUAAUUAAAAGAGAACUAUGUGAAAAAAUUGUAAUAAAAUAAAAUCACUAUAAGCUACUACUAAUUAAUAAUUUACUUUCAUAUGUGGAAACAUUUUAUUAGGUAUAAAACUUUAUGUUACUAUUAUUACUGUUUUGUGCCAGUAACAUAAUAAUAAUAGUAAAAUCUUUCAAUUACAUAUUGAUAUGUAGAAUUAUGUCUCAAUAGAAUAUUUUAUGAAACCAUUUUAUUUCAGGUACACAGAGAUUUUUAUUUUGGUCACCAUUUCUUUUAUAUAGUAUAGAUAAUUCUUUCAUGCUAUUACUGUUUUUACAAAAAUCCUCUUCCUGCUUAUACUUAUUAUUGCAUGACUUAAAUACUGUUUCCUCUGCCAGUUUAAACUCUUGUCAAGCAUCUCUUAUUAUACACAGUCUCUCUUAAUUCUGAACUCUUCAUGCCUUUACUGCUUACAUUCCCAUCAUAUGUUGCCUUGUAUUAUUGAUCUUAUUUUAAAUGAUAUGUCUUAUCCCAUUAACAAAUCUGAAAAUUACUUGAGGGCAAGAUUUGUAUCUUCAUUUUGUUUUUGUCUAAGACCUAGAACAGUACUACAAGCUAACCAUUGAUGAUUAUUAGGAUAAAAUCUAUGUAUUUGUAAAAAUUCUUAGAAUGUCCAAAAAUAAUUUUUGCUUCUAACAUUAGAUGAUUAGAAUUAUCUUUAUGUUAUGCUACUAAUUUGCUAAACAAAUUCUUUUUUGAGGUAAAGAUAAGUUCCUUGUCUAUAUUACCACAAUUUCUGUAUGAAUGGGUCCUAAAUUAAUGAUAUUUCAUUUCUUUUCAGUACUUUAUGCAAAAUUGAUGCUUAAGAAUUGUUUUAUGAAGUGAUUAAUAAAGUCUCAAAUCAAAUGCUCUUUAUUUCUAAAUAGAUUGAAUGAGAACUAGGAAAAGGUUUACGCCCGGCGGGGGGGAAUCUCUGUGAUUCUGAUAUUUUUUUGGAGGUUUAAAAAUAGCUCUAAGUAAUAAUGAUUUUGUGAAAUGAUUAUCAUACAUUUAUAUCUUCUAAAUAUCAGAGGAAGAAUUAUCCUGUUUUUUUUUUUUUGAGUUGGAGUUGAACACCUACAGAUUUCCUUCUGUGGUUCACAGGUGUUUUCUUCUGAAGUGUUUCUUUACUGUUCGGCUUAUGCCCUAAGGAGUACAGACCAAAGAUAUUGUUGGAAUUUGCUAUGAGAAAAAUGUUCAGAAUUCCUUUUAAAGUAGAAAAUGGAUUAUAAAAACUAGCCUCACUUAAUGGUGCAUAUUAAUGUAGUUACUUAAAAUAUAACAGUGAUGAAGUAGGUUAACUAAAGAUAUCACUAAAUAUGUCAUAGCUGGAUAAGUAUAGGGAUUUGGCUAGAGGUAAGGAAGGAAUAGGGGAAACAUUUAAAAAGGUGUAAGAUGAAGUAGAGAAUAUAGAGUGAGUAGAGAGGGGAAGCCAGAUACAAAGCAGAGUAGAUCUAAAUGCCAGAAUGGAAAAGAGAAUUGACAGGAGGAGUUAAGAAAAAGAGGAGUGGUAAAACCAGGAAGAAAUUCAAAAUAAGUUAUUUUCAGUGCUUAGUUGCCAGAGUAAAUAUUAGAAUGCUUAAAAGGCAUUGUCCACUCAUCUUCAUUCUUGGAAUAUAUAACUGACAUUAAUUUUUAGAAAGAGGAUGUUUUAUUGAUUGUAGUCUGUUGACAUAAUUUAUUGUUAAAAUUAUUAUUGUUCAUCUGUACUUGAGGAAAUGUUACAAGAAGAUAGUAAUUUACAGUAGCUUGGAGAUAGAAAUGUGAACUCAGGACUACAUUUGAAAAUAUUUUUUCUUGAUUAUAGAAAUUUACAACAUACAGAAAAGUACAUCCCCAGCCUAUUAUUAUUAUUAUUAUUUUAAUUUUGAGACACAGUCUCAUUAAGUUGCUUUGGGCUUCGCUAAGUUGCUGAGGCAGGUUUUGAACUUGUGAUUCUCCUGCCUCUACCUCCUGAGUUGCUGGGAUUAUAUGCGUGCCCCACCAUAUAUGGCUUUACAACAACAAUUGUUAAAUUUUUUUUUAGGUUCAAAGCAAAUCUAAUGAGUAGAUUUCCCGUAUAACUCCAACUCCCACAUGUGUUGCCUCCCCCAUUAUCAACAUUCUUCCACCAGUGUGGUACAUUUAAAAAUGAAACUGCAUUAACACAUCAUUAUCACUCAAAGUUUGUGGUUUACAUGGGGUUCACCCUUGGUCAUGUACUUUCUAAGAGUUUGCACAAAUAUAUAAUGACGUAUUCACCAUUAUAGCUUACCCAGUAGUUUCACUCCCCUAAGAAUCUUGUGUUCUGCCUAUUCACUUUCCCUCCCUCCUAACUACUGGCAACCAUUGAUCUUUUUAUUGUAUGUAUAAUUUUGUCUUUUCUAGAAUGUCAUGUAGUUAGCAACAUACAGCAUUCAGCCUUUUCAUAUUGACUUUUUUCAUUUACUAAUAUACAUUUAAGCUUCAUCCAUAUCUUGUCCUGGUCUUUUUAGUGCUGGAUAAUAUUCCAUUUCUUGAAUGUACCACAGUUUAUUUCUCCUUUCAUCUAUUGGAAAUCAUGUAAUUUCUUCCAAGUUUUGGUUGUGAUGAAUAAAGCUGCUGUAAACAACAUGUUUUUUUGGUGGACAUUAAUUUUAAUUUAUUUGGGUAAAUUCAAGGAGCAAAAUUGCUCGAUUCUAUGAUAAGGAAGUGGCCAGACUGCCUUCCAAAGUGCAGUUCCACAUUGAAUUAUGGGCCAUGAAUGAAAAAGUCUACAUUCUUGCUAGCAUUUGAUGUUGUCUGUGUUCAUUGUAAUUACUUUGUAACACUUUAUAUAUUUUCUUAUUUUAUGCAUACACAUAUGUAAUGUUAAAUCAUAAUUUAAUUAUUUUCAUAGAUUUGAGCAUACAGGUUAUUUCUUUUAUUUUCUUUUUUUUUCUAUUAGUAAAAUUCUUUCCUCAUAAUUUACUAUAGAUAGAUGUGGUAUCUACAGGUAUAUGCAUAUUUUAAAAGUUUCAAAAUUCUUAAGAUCAUUUUUGACUUUUCAGAGUUAUUCCUUUGGGAAACAAUUUACAAAAACACUUCCUUUUUCUGUGUUUAAAUUUUUUGUGUAAAUCGUGGGACUCUUACAAAUACGCUGUGAAGUUUAACAAAAUCUUCAUUAAAGAUAUUAUUUUUAAAUGUGUAUCCCAAUAAUAAAUAUUUUCUAUAAAAAUAUUUAACAUAAUUUGAUUGAUUUUCAUAAAGUUUUGUGCUUUAUUUACCUAUUGUAGAGGUGCUAUUAUACAAUGAAGUUAAGACACUUAUAUGGUAAUUCAACUGGUUAUUUUGAUUAAAAAUAAUAAAAAUUUUAUAUUAUGAAAUAUGUUUAUGAAUUGGGACCCAAAUAUGACAUGGUUAAUUUUAAAAGUGAAAAUUAAGCCUUACCGUCAUAGUUUGUUUUUUUUUUUUUUCCUUAAGGAAAUUUAUUUUGGGUUAAAAUAAUUAAGCUGUAAAAAAUCUCACAGCCUAAUCAUUUUUAAGCUACUUAAGAUUAUUUGCUUAGUGGUUGUAUCUUUGCUAUUAAUGUUGGAAUGCAUGAAGAAAUUUUCAUACUGUUGUAAAAUUAAUAAAUGAAAAUUUAUUUGAAGACUCUGUUUUUCUUUCCUUGCAACCUCUGUAUGACCUCUAUCUUUAGCCUGGUUUUAUUGAAUAGUAACGAAUUGAUGCAUUGUGUUUAUUGGUUUUCAUUUAGCUCUUAGGAAAUUUCUAUCAAUAGUGUUUGAUCUUAGUUAAAUCUUGAAAUCCAUGUGUCAUCCCAGCAUAAAGUGGGAAGGAAAUGUGUUUUUCAAUUUGGUAAAAGUAAUUUAUUACCAGUUAUGGUAUUAUUCUCUCAGGUGGGGAAGCUAUGUCCGUCCACUUGGCUAUAAAUAUAACUACAAGCAUCCUUUGAUAAAAUAAUUCAUCUAGGACACAUUGCCAUUGCUUGAAUUCAAUAAGUGAACCAUUUCUCCUUCUAUUGAUCUCAUUUCAAAAUUUAAGAUCGAACCUUUAGGGUUUUAUGUCCUUGGUGAUGAGAUGAAAGACAUUUAAGGAAUGAUGGCUUCUUAACAAAUUAAGUAAAUAUGCUUCUUUAUUUUCUUCAUGUAAAGAUCAUUCCAUAAAUAAAAUAAAAAGUGAUCUUACUUCUUUUACAUAAAAAUAUGCUUCUUAAUUUUAAUCUGCCACAUUUUUAUUUUUUGAGAUGAUACAUAUUGUUUAUUUACUUAUGAAUUAAAAUAUGUCCAUCCUCAUUAAAAAAGAACCUGUUAGAAAACUGAACUCUUCAGAAUGUCAUAGGAUAAAAAUAUGCAAUAUGAAAAUAUGAUAACAAAAUUUUUUGUCAUGAUAAUGGUUUUUCUUAGUGCUUCAUGUUCUCCUUGAAGAGGUAACAGUUCAGUAUAGAAUUUUAGUAAUUUGACCAGGUCUUUCACCCACCUAGAAGUUAUUUUAGUAUCUUUGACUUUAUACUAUGCUAUUACUUUUUGAGAGGCAAGGAAUUACUUAUCUUUAUUUAAAGCUACCUUUCAGCCAUAUUAAUCUGGUUACAUUUAUACAUAUUGUUAAAAUCAUGGUUUGGGUUGUUAAAUUACCCACUAUUUUUAAUUUUUUUUUUUUUUUGUACUGGGAACUGAACCCAGAGGUACUUAAUCACUGAACCACAUCCCCUGCCACCCCCCUCCCUUUAAAAAAUAUUUUAUUUAGAGAUAGAGCGUUGCUAAGUUGCUUAGGACUUUGCUAAAUUGCUGAGGCUGGCUUUGAACUUGGGAUCCUCCUGCCUCGGCUUCUGAAACCACUGGAAUUACAGGCAUUUGCCAUAGCAUCUGGUGAAAUUACCCACAGUUUUGAGGGAGAAUUUAAAUAGCUUUUACUUUAGGAUUAUUUAGCCUCUGAAAUGUGACUCCAAGAGUCUCUCCUGAAUGCUCUUGGUAUUCAUUGAAGUGUUUCUACUCUGGCUCCUCAGUGGUUUCCCAUCACUGUAUGAGCAAUUGUUCUUUGUCUGUUCUGGUGGAGUUUCAUUCAACAUGUGUGUAAAAGGACCCCUGUGCAGAUUGUUGGAGCUUUCUUUCUGUAUAGCUUCUUCCUUCCUGGUAUUCUGCCCCACAAAGCCCAGCUGCCUCCAGAUAUGAUUAUCUUGAUCCCAACUCAAGAGACUGCUCUUCUGAUUUUGGGUUUUUCCCUCCCUGAACUGUGUUCUGGAAUGUGCCUUGAGGCAGAAACUAGGCAGAAAGCUAAGAUUGGGUUUAACCUAGUUUGUUCCCUUUUUCUCAGGUAUUACAGGCCUGCACUGCCUAUUGUUGAGUGUCUAAAAUCAGUUAUUUUGUAUAUUAUACCAGUCUUAGCAGGAAGGCAAGUAGGGUCCCACUUACUCCUCCAUGGUGUAAGUGGAAAUCUGGUGUCUGGUGUUCAUUUUGAUGUUAUAAUAUUGCAAAAGAGUAUGGGAGGAUAUCCAAGGUUUGUGAAAAAGUGUAAUAACUCUACUAGUGUUUGGAUGAAUAUAAAGGGUGAUCUGCCCUCUGAGGAUAACACAGAAAGUAAACUGUGACUUAGACUGUGUGUAUCAAGAUUCCCUAGGCAGUGGGAGCCUGAAUGAAAAGUGUAAAUCUUCAGUUUGAAUUGUGUAAGUAGUAUUAUUAAGUGAACUCAGUAUAGGAUUUCCAAUGUAUACAAACUUAGCUUGAAGAUUGUAUGGAAUAUUUUUAUUAAAUUCUGUGAAUAACUGUAUUCCUACAAACUGUUGAUAAAAUUUUUCUUUAAGUUAAUUCUCAUUUUUAUAUCCUUGCACUUUUCAGUUUUCUGAGAUUGAGAGUAAACACUAUAACUUUGAAUUUACCUGUCUGCAUGAGGCAAGUGUUUCUAUUUCUGGGUACACCAAAUCAUUUAAUUCCAGACUCCUACUCCCAGCAUUACUUGUUUAUAUGACAAACAUCAAUGAAAUAUCAGCAAAACAAUUUUUUCAUGUCCAUCAAUUCAUCUAAUUUUUCAUUGAUGUUCCUACAUUAACUGAUAUAAUUCUCUUGUUCUAAAUUGUUAAUGUUCAAUUUAGCAUUCUCAAUAUCUAGAUGCAUAUGUUGUCUAUUUCUUUAAAACUGAUAUGGAACUAUAAAGAAAUAGAUGUUGCAAGUAAAAUAAAGGCUGUGUAUUAGUAUUAUUGUGUGGUUUUAUAUACAGUUUUUGACACUCUGAGUCUGUUUUCUUAGCCUAACUGUUAAUGACGAGGAACUUUACAAAGACAAUGUUAGAAACAGAUUUCUAAUUUUUCACACCUCCUUAACACCAGGUUGUAAGCGCUGUUAAACAUUUGAUCAGGCUGAUCUAGUUUCACUGCUAAUAACUGCUUACAGUCCCAUGAGUAGCCUCUCAGUGGCUGCCAAAUGCUCCUUGCUACUGUGAUCCAGCUAACUAUUGGCAUUUUAUCACCUAGGAGUCACAUGUGGUCACUGAUAUGUGUCACUCAACAUUAGAAUUGUACAGUGCCUCAGGAAUGAGAGAGGUCUCUUUGUUACAUCCAACAUGUCUUGUAAGAUCCUUAGGCGAUCUAAUCUGCUCUAAAUUCUCUAUAUCUGAGGCUUCUCUUGUCACAAGUACUGGGUUUACAGUUGAAAGAUGGGAAGUGGAAUUCAGAUACAAGAUUUUGGAUACCUAUUAUUUAUCAAUGCUAAAUGGCAAUAGGUAAGCCAUCCUUUCAAAAUAUCCCUCCCUUAGCUCUCUACCAUCCUUUUAAAGUUUAUUUUCUUUCUUUGCUUUAUUUCCUUUUAAGAGGAAAUAAGGAGAGGGAGGCUAGUGCCUUUUGAGGAUCUUUUUAUUAAAAAGAAAAGAAAAGCAGUGGUGUGUGUGUAUGUGUGUGUGUGUGUUCUAUCAAAGCAGGGGAAGGUUUAGUGAAGUACAGAAGGGAAUUGAGGGGGAGGGAAGAAGGAUGGGAUAAAGAAAGAACAGUGGAAUGAAUCUAACCUAACUUUCCUAUGUACAUAUACCACAGUGAAUCUCAUCUUUAUGUAUUUCCACAAGGCACUAAUUAAAAAUAUACCUAAGAAAAGAGCAGAAAGAUCAGGUGAGGGAAGGGAAUAGGGGGAGAGAAAAGGGAAGCACAAGGAGUGAGAAUAUUAUAUUACAUACCUUUAUAAUUAUUCCAAAAUGAAUCCUAAUGUUAUGUAUAACUAAAAGAAAAAAAGAAAAAAGCAAAUAAAACACCUAAAAUUUACCCUACAUAAUUAUUAAAAUUUACCCUACAUAAUUAAUUUAUAUCUUUUUCAAAAAUUAUUAUUUGUGUAUAGGGGUUAGGAAUUAGUGUGAAGAAAUUGUUUUGGCAACUUCCAUAUUGUGGAACAGUAUAGAAAUUUAGUGAGAAGCCAAAUUUUAAGGCUUCCAAGGGGAUGGAUGAUGCUAUGAUAAAAUAGGUAUCUAAGAGGAAAUCAUAUACUUCUGUCUUGCAUGCUUUAAUGGAAGUACCCAAAGAUUCUAUAAGUCCCUUAUGCCUGCUAAGAGUUAUUCAUUCAUUUAAAUAUAUUUAUUCCAUACCUAUUUUUUCAGGUGCUAGAGAUGGAGAGAAAGAGAAAUCAGACAGUUAAAGUGAUUGAGGAGUUUAAGUUCAAAAGAAAUUAAAACAGCUGUUUUUUGAGGCUAUUAUUCUACCCUACCUCUUUUCUACCUUUGUAUAUAUAGUUAUUAGGCACCCCCUCCAAAAAAAUAAGUGAAUCAUUGAUGUGCAAAUUUCUAUUUAUUUGAAUCAUUUGCUUUUUCCUUACUAAACAAAAGAUGGUAAAGUACAAACAAAAUCAUUUGUCAUUACUGAAAUUUUAGAUGGAUGGAUGUUUUCCCAUAUUAAAUGGCUACUCACUCUUGCUUUCAACACUACAUCAUUUUGGAAUAUUAAAAGAAUAGAUUAAAAAAGACAGGUUUUUAUUUAUUUAUUUAUUAUUUAUUUAUUUUAGAGAGAGAGAGAGAGAGAGAAUUUCAAUAUUUAUUUUUUUCAGUUUUCAGAGGACACAACAUCUUUGUUUGUAUGUGGUGCUGAGGAUCGAACCCGGGCCGCACGCAUGCCAGGCGAGCGCACUACCACUUGAGCCACAUCCCCAGCCCAAAGACAGGUUUUUAAAUAGGCCUUCACAAGACCUAAAUGAAGAAUAGGUAUAAGAUAUUAUAUGGUUCUGUUGAUAGAUAUGGCCAGUUGUUGGUAGUUGGACUUUUCAGUACAUAGGCACUUACCUAAUGGUAUUUAUUCAUAGUGCAAAACUCCAUCUCAAAAGAAUACUGAGGCAUAAUUAAAUGGAAUCUACAAAUGGCACAUCUUGUAUAUUUUCCUGAAAAAUCAUUUAAUUAUUGAAUCAUGUUAUUAUAACUAGUGUGCAUAAUAUAAAGGAGAUUCUUGAUGACUUGUGUUCAUAGUGUUAGAAAUCUUUUCUAUUAUGUAAAGUCAUAUCCACUUUAACUGUUUUGUAAUUUAAGAUUUUAAAAAUUAGACUGUUUUUUAUUAACUGACUUUUGUGAUUAUUUUAUGUAAUUAUAUACACACAUAUAUGUAUGUAGAAAUUUAGAAAUUAGCUUUGAACUAUAGGCAGUAUUUACUUUUUAUUUAUGUGUGAUUUGGUAGACUCAUUUAGAAAUUAGCAAUACUGUCUCAGAAAACUUCUAUUUUUGUGUCUUGCUUAUAUAGUUCCUUAUUUGCUAUAAUUUUGUUCAGAGGAAGAAAUUUCAAGUCAAAUUAGGUACUUAAUUGUAGAAAGAAUUCAGUGAAAUAAGGUCUGUGCCCUUUCCAAGGCUGUAAAAUCAAGAUAGUUGAGAGUUGAGUAUUUGCCGUAAUUAGGCUGUUUUUUGAAGGGGAAAGGGGGGUUACUAGGGAUUGUCAUCACUGAAGUUUUAGAUGAAUAGAUAGUUACUAGGGGUGCUUUACCACUGAGCCAAAUCCCCAGUCCUUUUAAUUUUUUAUUUUAAGACAGGGUUUCACUAAGUUGCCCACGCUGGCCUGAACUUCUUAUCCUUCUGCCUUGGCUUCCUGAUUCACUGGGAUUAUAGCUGUGUACCACUGUGCCUGGCUCUUUGAAUGAAUAUAUUUAUAUUCACACUUAUAUUUAUAAACAUGAAGAUUAAUGCAUAAUAUUGAUUGUAAAUUCAACCAAUUUCAUUUUUAUUUACUUGUAUUGUUCUACAUAUUCUUUGCUUUAAAAAAAAAUCCUUGCGCUUUUCUCUGCAUGUAGAAUAAUUUAUUUAGGUUAGAUGCCUGGUAAUGGAAUUGUUGAGUCAGAAUAUGUGAACUUUUUGAAAGGUCUUGAUUUGUUUAUUGACAAAGUAAUUAUAUAAGAAAUUGUACUAGUUAAUUGUAAUCAGUGUUGUUUGAGUAUCCAUUUCAUUGCAUGUUAUAUAUUUAAGCGAGAAUUUGAAUUCCAAUAUUGCUUUAAAAUGUAUUUCUCUGAUUACCAGUGCUGUUUAACAUUUUCUGUUUUGUAAAAUUGGUUGUGAUGUUUGUUAUUGUCCUUUUUUAUUUUUUAAUUUUUUUUUAGUUCUUUUGGAUACAAUACCUUUAUUUUAUUUAUUUAUUUUUAUGUGGUGCUGAGGCUCGAACCCAGCGCCUUGCACAUGCUAGGCAAGUGCUCUACCACUGAGCCACAACGCCAGCCCCUAUUAUUGUCUUUUUUAAAAAAAUUUUUUAAGUUGAAGAUUUACACAAUACCAUUGUUUUAUUUAUUUAUUUUUAUGUGGUCCUGGGGAUCGAACCCAUUGCCUCACAUGUGCUAGAUAAGCAUGCUACCACUGACCUACAACCCCAACACUUGUUAUUGUUUUUAUCCACUUAUUUAUAAAGGCUUAACAUUUUUGUUUCACAAAGGUCAUUUUAAUAUUUAAAGAUAAAUAAUAUCUCAAUGUCUUCCCCUCACUGAAACAGAAAAAAAGAAAAACCACAAAACUGAUCAAGACUAAUUUAGACAACAAACUGACAAAAAUAAAAUAUAUAAGAGGUUUAAUAUUUUUAUGUAGCCUACAACCUUUGGGUUUUUAAUUGUAAAACAAUGAAAAAAAUUGAAAAAAGACAUAAAUAAUGGGAUGAUAUUCUAUGUUCAUGGAUUUUAAAUAUUAGACCAUUUUUCCAUGUAUACAGACAUACAUAUCUUUAUGCAUGUGUGUGUGUGUGUGUGUGUGUGUGUGUGUUUGGUGGCACACAGAUGUAUGCAUGUUAGGAAAGUGCUCUCACUGGACUAUAUCCCUAGCCAAAAUAUAGCUGAAUUAUAUGAAUACAUACAUACUGAUAUACAUAAAUGAAGGAGAGAAGAAUUAGCUCUGAACUAUAAGCAGUAUUUACCUUUAUUUAUGUGUGGGAGAUCGGAAGAAUUAAUGUUGUUAACAUAUCCAAACUACCCAAAGCAAAUCUACAAAUUCAAUGUAAUUCAUAUCAAAAUUCCAGUGACAUUUUCACAGGAAAAGAAAAAAAAUUCUAAAGUUUAUAUGGAAUCACAGAAGAUCCUGAAUACUCAAAGCAAUUUUGAGCAAAAGAACAGUUGGAAGCAUCAUCUUAUCUGAGUUCAAAAUAUACUAUACAGCUAUAAUAAUCAAAACAUCAUGGCAUAGAUGGCAUUAAAAACAGACACUUAGACCACUGGAACAUAAUAGAGAACCCAGAAAUAAAUCCACACAUUUAUGUUCAACUGAUUUUCAACAGAGAUGACAAGAACACACAAUAGGAAAAAGCAGCCUCUUCAAUAAAUGUUGCUGAGAAAAUUGGAUAUCUACAUGCAAGAGAAUGAAUUUACAAAAAUGAACUCAAAAUCAUAGACUUUAAAUGUAACACCUGAAACAGAACUACUUGAAGAAAACAUAGGAGGGAAUCUUCAUGACAUAGGUUUUAGCCAUGCUUUUAUGAAUGUGGCCCCAAAACACAGGCAACUAGAAACUAGACAACUAAAAAUCUUUUGCAAAGGAAACAACACAGAGUGAAGAAAUAACCUACGGAAUUGGAUAAAAUAUUUGAAAAUCAAACAUCUUCUAAAGGUUUAACAUUAAAAAUACGCAAGGAACCCAAUUCAAGAGCAAAACAACAACCUGAUUAAAAAAUAAACAAAUGACAUGGUUGUAUAUUUCUGAAAACAAUGCAUAUGAAUUACCCACAGGUACAUUAAAAAAUACUCAGCAUAACUAACUAUGAGAGGAAUGCAAAUUAAAAUCACAAUGAAGGGCACAUUGGUACAUGCCUAUAAUCCCAAUGACUUGGGAGGCUGAGAAAGGAGAAUCACAAGUUUGAGGCCAGAUUCAGCAAUUUAGUGAGAACUUGUCUCAAAUAAACACUGAAGCUGGAUAUGGUGGCACAUAUCUGUAAUCCUAGCUGAGGCAGGAGGAUUAUAAAUUUGAGGUCAGCCUGGGCACUUUAGCAAGACCCUAUCUCAAUUUUUUUUUUUCUUAUGUGCUGGGAAUUGAACCUGGGGCCUUGGGCAUGCCAAGCAAGCAUUCUACCACAGAGCCACAUUGCUAGACCCCCACCCCAAAAUUUUAUAAAAUGGGAAUGGGGUACAGUGGGGGUACUGUCAAUUGAGCUUAGUGGUAGAGUGCUUAUCUAGCAUAUACAAAGCCCUGAAUUUAAUCCUUAGUACCACAAGAAAUUAAAAUAAUUUUUAAAAGGAAAUAAAAUGAAACAACAGCAGCCCCAAAUGAGGUGUCACCUCACAUCUGUUAGAAUGGCUAUUAUAAAAAAGAAAAAGAGAAGCAGAAUGUGGGAGUGCACACCUGAAAUCCCAGCAGCUUGGGAGGCUAAGGAAGGAGGAUCACAAGUUCAAAGCCAGCCUCAGCAAAAGAGAGGCACUAAGCAACUCUGUGAGACCCUGUCUCUAAAUAAAAUACAAAAUAGGGCUGAGAUGUGGCUCAGUGGUUGAGAGCCCCUGAGCUCAAUCCUUGGUACCAAAAAAAAGAAAGAAAGAAAAGAAAAAAAGAUAAGCAUUGGUAAGGAUGUAGGGAAAAAGGAACUUGUACACUGUUGAUAGUACAGCUAUUAUGAAAACAGUAUGAAGGUUCCUCAAAAAACUACAGAAAGAAUUACCAUGUGAUCUAGCAAUUCUACCACUGGGCAUCUAUCCAUAGGAAAUGAAAUCAGUGUAUUAAAGAGAUAUAUGCAUUUCUAUGUUAAUUGCAGCAUUAUUCACAAUGGCCUACAUAUGGAGGCAAUUAAGUACAUCAGUAGAGAAAUGGAUAAAGAAAAUGUAGAAUACAUGGAGUACUCUUUAGCCUUAAAAAAGGAAAUCCUGUCAUUGAUAGUAACAUGGAUGAUCUGGAGGACCUUAUGUUAAGUAAAAUAAGCCAGGUAGAGAAAAAUAUAUACCACAUGAUCUCACUAUAUGUGGAAUCUAAAAAAGUCAAACUCAGAGAAUAGACUACUGAUUACCAGGGACUGGGAGUGAAGAUAAUUGGGAGAUAUUGGUCAAAGGAUAGAAAAAUUUGGGUAGGAGGAAUAAAUUCAGGAUACCUAUUAUACAAUAUGUGACUGUAGUUAAUAACAAUGUAUUACAUACUUGAAAAUUGUUAAGAGAGUAGAUUUUAUGUGUUUUCACUACCAAUUAAUAAAUAAAUGAGAGAAUGGGAAUGUUAAUCAGCUUGAUCCAGCCAUUCAAAAAUUUAUACAUGUGUCAAAACAUCAUGUUGUAUGCCAUAAUUAAAUACAAUUGUCAUUAAAAAAAUAAAAAAAAACUAAAGUUGCCAAAAAAAAUUCUAAAUGCUGUCCUCUUUCAAAAACAAUUCCUGACCAAAACACACUGGGGAAAAAUAUUUACAGAAAAUCUGUUGGGUUUAACAUUUUUAUGUAGACACAUACCUUCAUACCUUCGAUUUUUAUUAUUGUGAGUGGCACAAAGUUUAAUCUUUUACUGGGGUCAUAAAACUACCAUUAUGACUGUUAGAGGACAGUGCUAUAAUAAGAGUUGCCUCAGGCCUUCUGUGGGAGGUAUGGGGAUGUCUUCCCUUACUCUUAAGUAGGCCAUACUAGUUUUACAUAGUUUCUGACCCAUCUCUCCUAGUUGAAUUUCAUCUCUCACUUCUUAUUUUUAUUAAUGUUUUACCAGUAGCAGUAAAUCAUAUUUCCUUCUGUAUACACAUUGUAUGUAUUUGGUACUUAUUAAUUUUAAUAAUGGUUUGAACAUUUCUUGAUUAAAUUUUUAAUGUAACAUUACACACACUUAUCACUAUUUAAUUCCUCCAUUAUCAGAUAUUUAGGUUGCCAGUUUUUUACUGCUGUGAUUUUUCCACAAGCAUCAUUAUGAAUAGUUUGGAUUUCAGAUUAAUUAUUUAGAAUAAUAUUUCAGAAUAAAAAUUAUUUGGUUAAAGAAUAUAAAAGAUUUAUUUAUUUUAAAAAUUAGUUUGUUUAUUUCUUUUUAAAUGGGUUAUGUAAACACGGGAAAUAAAUAAAAAACAAGUUAUAUUAUAACAAAAUCUCCCUCUUAUCCUAGGCCUCCAGUCCCUGGUUAAAAAAAAAAAAAGUCUUGUAGUAAAAUAUACUAUUUUAAUUCAAGUAGUCCCACAAAGGUGAGAGGCAUGGUAGUGACUUGGCUCUGGUACUUGUGUUGUGUAUGUAUAAAUAUCUCUGGAAGAAUAUAUGUGUAAUGUAGCUGGGCAUAUACACUAACCCUGUUCUACACUUUUUUACUUACUAAUUUAUCUUCUCACCUUGCCAUGUUAUUUUCCUGAAAAACUGCAUCAUUUACAUUUCCAUAUUUUGCCCUUAUAGGCGCUGAAUGCCUAUUUAAUGUUUUAAAAUCUCUGGUACAUUCAUUAGUGAAGUUUUGAAAUAUUUCUUAUGACUAGGUGAUCAAAUAUUCUUCCUUAGCAUUGCUUAUUGGCUGUAUGUAACCAUUCUUAUUUGACUUUUCAUUUGUAUACCUUGUUCAUUAUUUUAAAAUUAAUGUCAUUAUAUUCUGACAUGUCAUUUUAUAUAUAUACAUAAAUAUGUGUAUAUAUAUGUGUGUGUGUGUGUAUAAAUAAUAUUUAGCAUAUUAGCCUUUUGUCAUCCUUUUAAUUGCAUAUUCCAUUUACUCAGUCCUUUAUUGCUUUCUAAUUUUAUUUGAUUUUUUUUUUAGACGUAAAAAAGCCAAGUUGUUUUAUUUAUUAAUUUUUCUGGUUGUAUACAAAGUAUAUUCACACCAAUUUGUAUCUUCAUACAUGUAAUUUGGAUCAUAAUGAUUGCCACAUUCCACCAUCAUUUAUAACCCCAUGCCCCCUCCCUUCCCCUCCCACCCCUCUGCCCUAUCUAGAGUUUGUAUAUUACUCCCAUGCUCCCACUCCCUAUCCCACUAUGAAUCAGCCUCCUUAUGUCAAAGAAAACAUUCAGCAUUUGGUUAUUUGGGAUUGGCUAACUUCACUUAGCAUUGUCUUCUCUAACUCCAUCCAUUUACCUGCAAAUGCCAUGAUUUUAUUCUCUUUUAUUGAUGAGUAAUAUUCCAUUGUGUACAUAUGCCACAUUAAAAAAAAAUCCAUUCAUCUAUUGAAGGGUAUCUAGGUUGGUUCCACAGUUUAGCUAUUGUGAAUUGUGCUGCUAUAAAUAUUGAAGUGGCUGUGUUCCUGUAUAUGCUGUUUUUAAGUCCUUUGGGUAUAGACCAAGGAGAGGGAUACCUGGGUCAAAUGGAGGUUCCAUUCCCAAUUUUCCAAGAAAUCUCCAUACUGCUUUCCAUAUUGGCUGUACCAAUUUGCAGUCCACCAGAAGUGUAUGAGUGAGUGUACCUUUUUCCUCACAUCCUCGACAACACUUAUUGUUGUUUAUCUUCAUAAUAGCUGCCAUUCUGACUGGAGUGAGAUGAAAUCCUAGAGUGGUUUUGAUUUGCAUUUCUCUAAUUGCUAGUGAUGAUGAACAUUUUUUCAUAUAUUUGUUGAUUGAUUGUAUAUCAUCUUCUGAGAAGUAUCUGUUCAGGUCCUUGGCCUAUUUGUUGAUUGGGUUAUUUGUUGUUUUGGUGCUUAGCUUUUCAAGUUCUUUAUAUACCCUAGAGAUUAGUGCUCUAUCUGAUGUGUGAGGGGUAAAUAUUUGCUCCCAAGAUGUAGGCUCUCUUUUUACCUCACUGAUUGUUUCUUUUGCUGAGAAGAAACUUUUCAGUUUGAGUCCAUCCCAUUUAUGGAUACUUGAUUUUAAUUCUUGUGCCACAGGAGUCUUAUUAAGGAAGUUGGGGUCUAAUCUCAUGUGAUGAAGGAUUAGGGCCUACUUUAUCUUCUAUUAGACACAGGGUCUCUGGUUUUAUUCCUAAGCCCUUGAUCCAUUUUGAGUUGAGUUUUGUGCAUGGUGAAAGAUAGGGGUUGCCUUCAAUUUUUCUCAUUUAGAAUGAUGUUGGCCUGGGGCUUAGCAUAGAUAGCCUUUAUGUUGUUGAGAUAUGUUCCUGUUAUCCCUAUUUUUUCUAGUGUUUUGAGCAUAAAGGGGUGCUGUAUAUUGUCAAAUGCUUUUUCUGCAUCUACUGAGAUGAUCAUAUGAUUCUUUUUUUUUUUUAAAGAGAGAAUUUUUUAAUAUUUAUUUUUUAGUUUUUGGUGGACACAAUAUCUUUAUUUUAUUUUUAUGUGGUGCUGAGGAUCGAACCUAGCGCCCCACGCAUGCUAGGCAAGCAUGCUACCGCUUGAGCCACAUCCCCAGCUCUGAUCAUAUGAUUCUUAUCUUUAAGUCUAUUAAUGUGAUGAAUUAUAUUUAUUGAUUUCUAUAUGUUGAAGCAACCUCAUGUCCCUGGGAUGAAUCCCACUUUAUUGUGGUGGUACAUGAUCUUUUUGAUAUGUUUUUGUAUUUGAUUUGCCAGAAUUUUAUUGAGAAUUUUUGCAUCUAUGUUCAUUAGAGAUAUUGGUCUGAAGUUUUAUUUUUUUAAUGUGUCUUUGCCUGGUUUUGGAAUCAGGGUGAUAUUGGCCUCAUAAAAUGAGUUUGGAACUGCUGCCUCUUUUUCUAUUUCCUGAAAUAAAUUGAAGAGUAUUGGUAUUAGUUCUUCUUUAAAGGUCUUGUAGAACUUGGCUGUGGAUCCAUCCAGACCUGGGAUUUUUCUUGGUUGGUAGACUUUUGAUGGCAUCUGCUAUUUCAUCACUUGAAAUUGAUCUGUUUAAAUUGUGUAUAUCGUCCUGAUUCGAUUUGGGCAAGUUAUGACUCUAGAAAUUUGUUGAUACCUUUGAUAUUUUCUAUUUUAUUGGAGUACAAGUUUUCAAAAUAAUUUCUAGUUAUCUUCUGUAUUUCUGUAGAGUCUAUUGUGAUAUUUACUUUUUCAUCAUGUAUGUUAGUGAUUUGAGUUUUUGCUCUCCUGUUCUUCAUUAGCAUGGCUAAGGGUUUGUCAAUUUUAUUUAUUUUUUCAAAGAACCACCUUUUUAUUCUGUCAAUUUUAAAAAUUAUUUCUUUUGUUUCAAUUUCAUCUCCGAUUUUAAUCAUUUCCUGUCUUCUGCUGCUUUAGGUAUUGAUUUGUUCUUCUUUUUCUAGGGCUUUGAGAUGUAAUGUUAAGUAAUUUAUUUGUUGACUUUUUCUUCUUUUAAGUAAUGAACUCCAUGCAAUGAACUUUCCUCUUAGAACUGCUUUUAUAGUGUCCCAGAGAUUUUGAUAUGUUGUAUCUGUGUUCUCAUUCACCUCUAAAAUUUUUAAAAUCUCCUCUUUGAUGUCUUCUUCAACCCAUUGUUCAUUCAGUAACAUUAUUUAGUCUCCAGGUGUUGGAGUGGAUUUUAUUUUUUAUUUUAUCAUUGAUUUCUAAUUUCAGUCCAUUAUGAUCUGAUAGAAUGCAAGGUAGUAUCUCUACUUUUUUGUAUUUUCUGAGAGUUGCUUUGUGGCGUAGUAUAUUGUCUGUUUUAGAGAAGGAUCCAUGUGCUGCUGAGAAGAACGUGUAUUCUUUUGCUGAAAGAUGAAAUAUUCUAUAUAUGUCAGUUAAGUCUAAGUUAUUGAUUGUAUUAUUGAGUUCUGUAGUUUCUUUGUUCAGCUUUUGUUUGAAAGAUCUGUCUAGUGAUUAAAGAGGUGUGUUAAAGUUACUCAAAAUUAUUGUGUUAUGGUCUGUUUGACUCUUGAACUUGAGAAGUUUGUUUGAUAAACAUAGAUGCUUCAUUAUUUGGGGCAUAUAUAUUUAUAAUUGUUAAGUCUUGUUGGUAUAUGGUUCCCUUGAGCAUUAUGUAGCAUCCUUCUUGACUGACUUUAGUUUGAAGUCUACUUUAUUUGAUAUGAGGACGGCAAUCCCCGCUUGCUUCUGUAGUCCAUGUGAUUGGUAUGAUUUUUCCCAACCCUUCACCUUCAGUCUGUGGAUGUCUUUUCCUGAGAUGAGUCUCUUGGAGACAGCAUAUUGUUGGGUCUUUUUUUUUGAUCCAAUCUGCUAGUCUAUGUCUUUUGAUUGGUGAGUUUAGGUCAUUAACAUUCAGGGUUAUUAUUGUGACAUGAUUUUUAUUCCUAGCCCUUUUUGUUUAUUUUUGGUAUUUAAUGUGACUUGGUUUCUCCUCUGAUCAGAUUUUCCUUUAGUGUAAUACCCCCCUCUGCUGAUUUUCAUUAUUGUUUUUCAUUUCCUCUUCUUGGAAUAUUUUGCUGAGGAUGUUCUGUAGUACAGGCUUUCUAGUUGUAAAUUCUUUUAAUUUUUGUUUAUCAUGGAAGGUUUUCAUGUCAUCAUGAAAUCUAAAGCUUAGUUUUGCUGGAUAUAAGAUUCUUGUUGGGAUUCAUUUUCUUUCAGAGCUAGGUAUAUGUUGUUCCAAGGUCUCCUGGCUUUGAGGAUCUGGGUUGAAAAAUCUCCUGAGAUACGAAUUGGUCUCCCCCCAUAUGUGAUCUGAUUCCUCUCUCUUGUGGCUUCUAAGAUUCUAUCCUUAUUCUGUAUGGUAGGCAUUUUCAUUCUAAUGCGCCUUGGUGUAGAUCUGUUGUAAUUUUGUACAUCUGGUGUCCUGUAAGCCUCUUGUAUUUGGUUUUCCAAUUGUUCUUCAUGCUUGGGAAAUUUUCUGAUAUUAUCUCAUUGAUGAGAGCAUUCCUUUGGUUUGAAACUCUAUGCUUUCCUCUAUCCCAAUAACUCUUAGAUUUGGUCUUUUGAUGCUGUCCCAUAAUUUUUGGAUGUUCUGUUCAUGGUUUCCUACUGUCUUCACGGUGUGACCAACUUAUUUUCCAUAUUGUAUACUUUGUCUUCAUUAUCUGACGUUCUUUCUUCCAAGUGAUCUAGUCUGUUGGUUAUGCUUUCUAUUGAGUUCUUAAUUUGAUUUAUUGUGUCCUUCAUUUCAAGGAUAUCUCACUGUUUGUUUUUCAGAGUCUCUAUCUCUCUCUUGAAGUAAUCUUUUGCAACCUCUAUUUGCUCUUUUUUUUCUCUUUGUUGGAGUGAUCAAUUUUUACCUGUAUUUGCUCAUUUAGGUCAUUCACAGGUCAUUUUAAUUAUGAACCUUCUGAACUCCUCUGACAUUUCAUCAACUUCACUGUUCAUGGAUUCUGUUAUUAUAGUGUCCUGGUUUUGGGGCACUUUCCUCCUUUGUUUUUUCAUGUUGUCUAUGUGUCUUCCUUUCUUGCAUUGUGGAUAUGAGAUAUUACAGUUUUUCCCUAUAUUCUUGUACUACCUGUGCAGAUUGUUUGUACCUCACCUUGAUGUUGGGUUUCCAGACCCUGCUGUUGUCGCUCAAUGUAUUCUACUGCUUCCCUGGACCUGGGUCCUGUGCAAGUUGGCAUGGGUGGAUGUGGGCCUGUGGGCUUGGCCUAGAGUAGCCUGCUGGUUGGAAGCGGCAAUCCUGCACAAGAGGCUAGGAUCUGGCAGGUAUCUGCCCAGCUGGUGGAGGAGUGGACUGGGCCUACUGUGAGCCUGGGUCCCACGCAGGCUGGUGUUAAUUUUAUAUGAUUUUUGAAGGGGCAGUCAGCUGUUUAAUGUUUGACAUUUAAAAAAAAUUUUCAUGCAUCUCUAAUCCUCUUUUAAUUGUAAAUUUAAAAUAUAACAAAUCUCAUUUUUGUUACAGUCAUGUGUCACAUAAAAUUAAGUGGGAUUUCCCCAUUCUUCUUUUAAUAGAUCACAAGGUUAGACUGUAGAUUUUAAAUUAUUCAAUUUUAAAUUAUAAAUCAAAAUUAUAGAUUUGGAAUUACUGAAGACUAGUUGAAGGAGAUUGGCUCUGUUUGACUGGAAAUUGAUAGAAUUUGAAUUGUGGUAUUUUAUCAUUGUUGAUUUUCCAUUCUGUGUACUAUGUAGUUGUGAGUGCAUGUGUGAGUAAUUGAAAGAUAGUAAGUUUAGUGUAUAUAACUUGCAUAAGUCAAAUGUAAUUAUUACUUAGAGGAAGCUCCCAGUGGACUUCCCUUUUGGCUCCUCUCUAUGUUCUUCUCAUUUUAAUAUCUACCUUUAAAGCUUAGGCACCUGUGGUGACCAGGGAAUAAAGAAGUUAUUGAGUUAUAUCAGAUGAUAUACUUUGUAUUUCUGUCUUUGUUUUUUUUCUUUCUCAAAUUUUUGUCCAUGAUUUUGAUAACUCAAUCACUGAUAUGCAGUUCAAAAUAGAAUGAAAUAAAGAUAAUUUGAAGAUGUAUGACCCAUGAAUCAGAUAUACCUUUUCUUUAGUAAGUGUAAUAUGGUGGUGGUGGUGGUGACAAUAAUGGAGGAGGAGGAGGAGGAGAAAGAGGAUAAGAUGAUGAUGAUCUGGGUCUGUUUUUUGCUAUCAACUCUCACCAUAUGAUUGUUAAUUUUUCUAUGUAUUUAGAUUAUAUUAUAAGCUAUUAGAUUGACUAGCUAUACUUUAUCAAAAGUACUUCAAUUUCUAAAGAUCAUAAAAAGGAAAAAGAAAUAUUAAUUCAAAAGUAUAUACUAUUUAAAUAUCAGUAAAUUCAACAUUUAUCUAAAAUUUUUCCCUUUUUAGUAGAAAUUGAAUCCAAAUAAAAUGUUACCUUCUUAUGUUUGGUGAUCUUAUGUCACUGGAUAAGGGAGCAUGCUUUGAUUUAACUGCAUGGAUGGAAAAAUGUCACUUUCAAUUUUCCUGAAAUCAUUUGUGUUCAAAUAGUAUCUUUUACUUCAGGGUUUUUCUUAUAGAACUUUCUGGACAUUCUAAUUUCUGGUGACUUCAGGAUUUUUGUUGUGGGGAGCUAAUAUAAGUACAUAGCAUUUGUAGCUGAAGCUGAUAGCUCUUGCUAUUGCUGUGUGGAGUUCCUCAGGAGCAGGAAGUGGGACAGAAAGGAAUGUUGAAUGUGGGAGAAAUUGUGGCAUUAGAAAUCAUUACAUCACUUUGUAAUACAUUAUUGGAUGUAGGAUAACUGAAAUUAUAAUUGUUAUUGUUUAAUGUACUAAUUCUUUUAGCAAUACAAGGAAAGUGUUAUUCUUUCCAUUUGACAAAUGAGGAAACUGAGAUUCAGAGAAAAUGUAUUUUGCCUAAGUAAACAUAGGUACCAUAAAAACAUAAAGAAAGUGAAUUUAAUUUUGGACAUGGUCAAUUUUAAGAGAGAAACAUCUUGUUAGAAACUUCACACAGUAAUUUGGAGAAGCAGAUUUGGAACUUGGGACAGAGGAUAAAGUGAAAGGGAUAAGUUUGGGAAAUUCUGUGCACAGAGUUGAUAAUUAAAAUACCGGAGAAUUGCUGGUUAUGUUAUGGAGUCAUCACAGCAGUAGAGUUAAUUAGGUGUUCACCCAUGCAUUGUUUCCUGCCACUCUUUUUGGAAGAUAGGUCCUAACUAUCUAGAAGCAUUAAUCUUGUUCAGAGGAGCUUGCAAAACAUAGAUAGAUGAGGUGGCAUUAUAGAUAGAUUUUCUUAGCCUGGUUCCAUUCUAUCACCCUGUCUGCAAUGAUGAGCUACCACAGUAUAGAUUCUAAGGUAACAGAGUGGGCAUACACCCAGGGAAGGUGCUUCAGAGUCUCAUGUUAUUUGAAACCCUUUCCCCUAUUGAUUCUGAGCCUUUUCCAAUACAUUUUUUUUUUCUCUUUAAGACUCACUGCCUAGAUCCAGAGAGGAAGAAAGUGGGGAUUAUUGCUUGUAAUUGUAUUUGUAAUUGUUGGAAAAGUGAAAUUACUUAAUUCAUUUGUUUUACCAAUAAAAGAGCUUAUUAAUGUUUAUAAAUUAUUAAGUAUACGAGCAGUAAGGUUUUGAUAAGUGACAUGAUUAAAGAGAAAAAUCCAUAUUUUUUGCUUGUAAUUAGAUAUUAUUUUUGUUUUUUAAAUAGGAAAAAUAGAAGAAAUUUAUUAGUGACUUUACUAUCAUAAGGAAGAGAUUACAAAUUAUAAAGAAGUAAGAAGUAACUCACUUGACUUUAGGUAAUGGGGUUUAUUGAAAGGACACAGCAAUAAUUGUGCUAUGCCUUAAUUGUUCUGAUGUCCGUCCUCUUUCCCAAGUCCCAUUAUGGUGAUCAUGCUUCGUUCUGUCUCUUACUUUCAAAUUCCCAAACUUGGUGGAACAACCUUAUUGUUUUGUUUCUAACAUAGACCCCUAUUGUAGUGUAAACCAUUGAUUAGUUUCUGGGCCCAAGGCUUUGCAAACUGCAAGGAAUUACUUGAAGUUGUUUCUUCUCACUUGGGCAGUAGGGCAGCACUGCCACUGGCAAUUUUGAGGCUUUAUAGUCUAGUCAGGAAGAUUUUACAAUUUUUUCUUUCCCAGUAAAAUUUGCCAUGAUGGUCAGUGAAUAGGAUGAUAGGGUGGGAAUGGUUAGUGGAGAGGCAGGUGUGUGGUAUAUAUCUGAAGAAUGUGUGCCAAGAGUUACCAGCAGAAAUAUUUAUUUGAAACUACAGGGGCAUUCAGAUUCUUGUCUCCUUUCUGAUGCACUCUGAGGUUGAGUCACUUCCACUGGGAGACACAGCUUCUGAAAACAGCAAAAACCAUAUCAUAUGUGUUAGGGUAGGGAAAAAAAGUUGAGAAGUACUGAUCUAGGAAAUGUUAUUGAAUUUGAAAAGAAAUGGGAAAAUGAAUGAGGAAAGAAUUACAUGGACAGAGCACCUUAUUUUGCACUGGGUUUCUUUGUGUAACAGAUGCAUGAUAUGUUGUCAUGAAAAUGAAGAACAUUAUCACUUUUGCAAAUGCCAUCAAUCUUUAACAAUCAAAAAUUCGCUUGGCAAGAGAAGUGGUGCAGUAUACAGAAUUGUGGUUAUUGUUACAUUGUAUUGUUUACUGUAAACCCAACCCAAUAUUGGUAAAUAUAGUGUAGCAGAAACUGAACUGUUGUGAGCUAUCUGGGCAUCCGUCCAAGAUAUCAUUAAAAAUACUGCCUCAGACUAAUUUGGGUUUAUGAAUAAUAUUUUAACAGCUCAACUGAAAUUGAGCCACAUGGUGUAGCUUAAAAACACUGAAUCCACAAGAUAGUAAGAGUAGUGUUAAGUGUAUACUACACACUCAAUAUUAUAUAUUUGAGCAAUAAAUUUAUAUGUAAUUUUGUAUUAACCUUUAAGCCAUAAAUGCCCACACACUUAAUAUGAUGUUAUUUUUGAAGUUUACAUAAUGCUGUAGUUUUUUAAUGAAUUUGAAUGUGUUAUAGACUAAAAAAUUAAUUGAUCUAACAAUCAAACCUGAACAAUAAGGAGAGGUUGCUAAAAAAGUGGAAAUUCAACACAAAUUUUGGCAUAUGGUUCUGCACACAACUAGGGUUUACAUUAGUAUUUACCGUAAAGAUGGAAGGAAAUAAGUUGUUGGAAAAGUGAAAUAACUUAAUUUAUUUGUUUUACCAAUAAAAGAAUUUUACUUUAAGAGCUUAUUAAUGUUUAUCUAUAAAUUAUUAAGUAUAGAAUGAGCAGUAAGGUUUUGAUAAGUGAGAUGAUUAAAGAGAAAAAUCCAUAUUUAGAUAUUUCUUUACCCCAAAAUAUAUAUUUGUCUUUUUCAUUUUUUGCUGUUUUAAUUAGUUUAAAUUCUUUCUGAACAUAAAUGUAUAAAUUCCCAUUAAAAUUGAACAGGAAGGAUUUAUUUUCUUUCACUGUUAGCAUAUAAAAUAUUUUUGCUGUGGCAGUAUAUAAAAUAUUUUUGCUGUGGAAUGGAAAGAUGUUCAUUAUUUAAAGAAUGAAUUUUACAUAUUUCUCUUCUCAAUAAAUGUUUUAUUCAUUUUCCAGGUUAGCACUCUAUGUAUAUGAAUAUCUGCUCCAUGUAGGAGCUCAGAAAUCGGCCCAAACAUUUUUAUCAGAGGUAUGUUUUAUAUAUUUUUUGUAUUGCAU